rnacentral:lncRNA from 1 species
CUAUUUCCAUAUCUUUUUUAAGUAAUGAGCCUAUCCUCUAUCUUCUUUUUUAUGUUUAUAUUUCAAUAUACCGAAACCUAUAUAAGACUAGAUAAAUAUUAAGAGGACUCUUCCGCCUAGAUAAAAAUAUAUCAUGGUCAGCAAAGUUGUUUCUUUAUUUUUAUUUGCCCUCUUUAAUAAUUUCAAUUUCAUUAAGAAAAACUAACUAAAUAAAUGGAAAAUGAAAAUUAAUAGAAUUCUUUUUUUUCUUCAAAUCCAAAAAAUUUCUCUUUUUUAUACAUAGGUCGUCGAUUCGGCAUUGGUUAAAAAAGGGCAGGGUGCCCCCCUUUUUUUCUAGUAAAUAGUUCAAACCAUUUUAUCGAUAUGAGUGUUCUAUAUCAGAUAAAUUUUACAUUAGCUAUUUCCCGUUUAAAUUCGGUACUAAUACUAAUAUAGUUGUAGAAAGAGUACCUCUUUUUGCCUGGACUUCAAGCAGUUUAGCUUUAACCAUGUUAAUGGUCUCACAUUCUUGGUUUAUAGAGAAUCAAAGUUGAUUUACCAAUGAGUCGCGAAAUGCUAUGGUUCUUCCAUAUGAUUUCUGAAUUUAUUCAGAAGUAAUUCGUCGAGAUCGUGCACCCUUUUCUUAUUUAUCCGAAAAAUACUAAAAAAUAUUAUAAAGUGCAGCCGGAUAGAUCCAAUCUAUUCUUGAAAUAGACAACUCGCACACACUCCCUUUCCAAAAAAAAUCAAAACACCAACCACUACAGUUAGAUUUAUUAGAUUUGUUGCUAAAAUAUCGGUAUUAAGCCCGAAACUGCCAGCGGAUGGCCAGUGAGCUAAAAAAACGAAAGAAUGGGUUACAUUUUUCAUAUGCUCUCCUCUUAUAGAUAGGACGAACAAAGAACAAAGUUUUUCGAUCACUUACUUCGCUCGCCCUUUUUUGAUCGGUUUUUUUUAAUGCAAAUAGAUUCAAUCUAGUAAUUUCUUUUAGAUUACGUCUUACGUCUUGUUUGACCGGUGAAAGACUUCCUUUGUUGAAAUGUUCUGUUCCCAAAAUUCCUAAAAUAAAAGGAAAAAACUUUCCACUUUCCUAAACUAAGGACGGGAAAUAAGAAGGUGAGCAUAUCUUCUAAAUUAAUAAUACUCAACUCAGCCCUUCCUAGAAUGGGGUAUUAUCUAUCCCGAUAAAUAGAUAAUUCCAGGAGUAAUAAAUAGGAGUAAAUUAAAUAAAGUAUUGAUAUAAUUGGAAUUGCGGAAGCAAAUACCAAUUUACUAAAAAAAGAAAAAAGUAUCUAAUCGAAAUCGAAAGAAUUUUUUUUAAGAUUAAACAAAAGGGUUCACAAAUAAAAGCGCUAGUGCCACAACUAGUCCAUAAAUUGUUAAAGCUUCCAUAAAAGCUAGACUAAGCAAUAAAGUACCUCGUAUUUUACCUUCUGCUUCUGGCUGUCUCACAAUACCUUCUACAGCUUGUCCUGCAGCAGUACCUUGACCAACUCCAGGUCCAAUAGAAGCAAGCCCUACGGCCAAUCCAGCAGCAAUAACAGAAGCAGCAGCAAUUAGUGGAUUCAUGGUGAGUAGUUCCUCGUGUCAAAAAAAAGAAAUGGUUAAGGAUACAAUCAACCAAUAAAUUCUUACUUCUAAGCUCUAUUGGGGAGAAGUAAAGUAACUAAAAAGUACAAAUUGAAAUCAAAUUGAAAUGAUAAUGUGAAUUGUCCGAACUACAUAGAAGGGAAUUCCAUAUCCAUAUAUCGGAUUAGAUAAUGAAUCUAACCUAGGAAUAUAUAUUAUAAUAUCCUAUAUAUACAUUUGUUUCUUCUAUUUUGUUUGCAUAUUUUCUCAUUUUCUAUUGAAUUGGAUUCUAAAAUCAUUGCUUAAAGUGGAAACCCGCAUAAAAGAGGACUCCACUUAUAGACAUUAAGGAUAUUAUAGUAUAGAUCUAGCCUGACUCCACCCUCCUUAAUGCAUAUAUACUUUGAAAAUUCCAUAAUAUUGUCUAUUCUAUUCUCUCUCCUACAACUCUAGGCUAUAUAUUCAUACGCAUUUCUAACUAUUUUUUUGCAACCAAGCAGAUUAUCCGGAACCAUGCAUGAAUUGAGCUAAGCUGCAAAAAAAUACUAUUUCCAAAAAUAGUCAAUUCAAUGAUGACCGUCCAUGGAUUCACCUAUAUAGGCUGCGGCUAAUGUUGCAAAAAUAAGAGCUUGAAUACCGCUUGUAAAUAAUCCAAGAAACAUGACCGGUAUAGGGAUUACUAAGGGGACUAAAGAAACAAGAACAACAACGACUAAUUCAUCCGCCAAUAUAUUCCCGAAAAGUCGAAAGCUAAGUGACAAUGGUUUUGUGAAAUCUUCUAGGAUGUUAAUUGGUAAAAGGAUUGGAGUUGGUUUAAUAUAUUUCUCGAAAUAGCUCAAUCCUUUUUUGCUAAGACCAGCAUAAAAAUAUGCCGCUGACGUGAGUAAAGCUAAAGCAACAGUAGCAUUUAUAUCAUUCGUGGGCGCUGCUAAUUCCCCAUGGGGUAACUCUAUAAUUUUCCAAGGUAAAAGAGCACCCGACCAAUUCGAAACAAAAAUAAAAAGGAACAUAGUUCCAAUAAAGGGAACCCAGGGACCAUAUUCUUCUCCAAUCUAAGUUUUGCUCAAGUCUCGAAUAAACUCAAGGACAUAUUCAAAAAAAUUCUGACCGUCGGUCGGGAUGGUUUGUGGAUUCCGAACAGCUAUGACAACUGAACCUAGCAAGAUAGUAAUUACGACCCAAGAAGUGAUGAGUACUUGGGCAUGAAUCUGGAAACCUCCUAUUUGCCAAUAGAAGUGUUGGCCUACUUCUACACCCGAUAUAUCGUAUAACCCCUUGAGUGUUUUAAUGGAACAAGGUAUAAUAUUCAUAUUGUCCUCUGAUAAAAAUUGAACUUCAAAAAAGGAAUUCUUUUGAUUCAACCAUCUCUUUCUCAACUCAGCAACUUGAAGUAUUAAUCUUAUAUUUAGGAUACCAAGAAAGCACAUCAGAUCAUAAUAUAUAUCAAUACCCUCUAAUAUAUAUUAAUAUUCCCCUUCUUUUUUCUAUGCAAAAAAAUUCUAUGCAAAAAAAAGAUAUAGUAAAGUAAGUGAUUCCAUAAAUUUACGCAGUUGCCCAAGAAUUCACUAUAUAUUCUUAAUCAACAAUUUCUUAUAUAGAGAGAAUGGCCCUCACAAAUUGAAAAUACUAAUUUGUUAAGAAUCAAUCGAAUUGAAGUCAUAGUGUCAUCGUUGGCUGGAAUCGAUAUAUUCGCGACCCUCAUGAUGAAUAUGAGAUUGAUAAUAGUGUUUGCAAUAAUAUUGAAAGUGGGUUUGGAAGAGUGUCAACUUUAGAUCCCACAUAUUUGGAGUAUGUUCAAUCUUAUAAUAUUUUUGAUAAAAGUGGGUUUGGAGAGGUCAUGACUUUAGUUAAUUUUAAUCCUACUAUCUUGGAAGAGUGUCAACUUUGCAUGCAUGUGGAUUGUGUUAAGAAUAUGUUAUGUGAUAGCUAUUUUGCUGAAUUUGCCUAUGAUCCUACCUGUAAUUAUUAUGAGAGAGGAAAAUAUGGUCAUAGAAAAUUUUAUCUUACUAAAUUACCUCUCAUCACGUUGAGAUUGCUAUUGUCUCUUUCUUAUUCCUUGCAUAUGCUAGUUUUUGUUUGCCUUGCAAAUUUGUUUGCUUAUAAUAUGCCUAUGCAUCGGAAGUAUGUUAGACUUAGAUGUGGUUGUCACGUGUUUCAUGAUGCUCUCUUUGCGCUUCAAUUCUUGUCUUUCAUGUGAGCAUCAUUAAAAUUAUCAAUGCGUAGCUAAAAGUCUUUAAAGAAAAGCGCUUGUUGGGAGACAACCCAAUAUUUUUCCUUGCUGUUAUUCAACAAAUUUUGCAUCUACCUUCUGUUUAGAUGUGUUUUCAUGUUUUAAUUAGUGUUUGUGCUAAGUAGAACCUAUAGGAUAACCUACACUACAAAAAAAAGACACAUCCAUAAUAUUUUGGGCCGAACGAAUUUUUUUCUGUCAUACUUAUGACACUUCUAUGAUGAUAAUUGUGACAAAACCUGGUAUCAUCAUAGAUGUGGUGGGAUGCUACUUCUAUGACAAGAAAUCAUGACAGAAAAUGGGCUUUUCGUCUCGGGCGUGCCGGAGACGCAGCUGCAUGACAUUCUUUGGGCCGUCCAUGACGGAAAAACCGUGGAAGAAGCAAGGGCGAGGAAAAUUUCAGGGAGUUCCCGGUUAUGGUGGGUGGUCGGGGGCCGAGCGAUGCACGUUUCUCUCGUACACAUACGCGUGUGUGUGCGAGGCAUUGGCUCUAACUGAACCCGAGCGAGGCGUUGGCCUCUAACUGAACCCGAGCGAUUGCACUGCAGGCUACGCAUUACUGAACCCGAGCGAUUGAUCGAUGGCUGUUAACUAAACCUGAUCGAGCGAUUCCUUCGCUACUGCUGCUAACUGAAGCCAAUCGAUGCUGCCUCUUUGGAUGNNNNNNNNNNNNNNNNNNNNNNNNNNNNNNNNNNNNNNNNNNNNNNNNNNNNNNNNNNNNNNNNNNNNNNNNNNNNNNNNNNNNNNNNNNNNNNNNNNNNNNNNNNNNNNNNNNNNNNNNNNNNNNNNNNNNNNNNNNNNNNNNNNNNNNNNNNNNNNNNNNNNNNNNNNNNNNNNNNNNNNNNNNNNNNNNNNNNNNNNNNNNNNNNNNNNNNNNNNNNNNNNNNNNNNNNNNNNNNNNNNNNNNNNNNNNNNNNNNNNNNNNNNNNNNNNNNNNNNNNNNNNNNNNNNNNNNNNNNNNNNNNNNNNNNNNNNNNNNNNNNNNNNNNNNNNNNNNNNNNNNNNNNNNNNNNNNNNNNNNNNNNNNNNNNNNNNNNNNNNNNNNNNNNNNNNNNNNNNNNNNNNNNNNNGGACCCCUUGGCGUUGCCUCUGGAUGAACAGGACUCCGAUCGAUCGAGCCAGUUGGGGCUGGAUGAAUAGGACCCCGUGGAGGGCUGGAUAAACUUGACGACCCCGUGGAGGGCUGGAUGAAUAGUAGACAGUGGAGGGGGUGGAUGAACAGGAGCCCGUGGAGGGGUGGUUGAACAGGAGCCCGUGGAAGGGUGGUUGAACAGUAGCUGGUGGAGUAGCAUGCGGUGGAGGCUGGAUGAACAGGAGCCCGUGGAGGCUGGAGGAGGUCGACGGUGGAUGAACAGUAGUCCGUGGAGGCUGGAGGAGGUCGAUGGUGGAGAUGAACAGUAUCCCGUGGAGUCCUGUUUUGCGGUACGCCACACCCCUCCCGAUGAAUAGAACCCCCGUUUCGAUGGUAGCGCUCCAACACAAGUCCGUUUCGUCCGUUUUGCAGUACACCACACCCCUCCCGAUCAACAAGACCCCUGUUUUGACCGUAGGAGGCCCGUUUCCUCCGUUUUGCGGUACGCCAGACCCCUCCCGAUGAACAGGAUCCCGUUUCGAACAUGGCCGGUCGAACACAAGGCCGUUUCCUCCGUUCUGCGGUACGCCAGGCCUCGUUUCCAUCGCAUGUUCCGUCCAAGCCCUCCAGAUGAACACGACGACGCAUUCCGUUCCGACCCAGUCAGUUGGCUCCCCAUGAACACGGCGAUGACACUAUUUCUCCGUUCCGACCCAGCCAUGUACACGAGCCCUGGCCGUACGUAUGCGCGAGUAGGCGUUCGAGACCCCGCCCGUAUGUACACAUAUGUGGCCGUAUUUUCUUUCUUGCACACUGACCGCUGUACGUACGAGUACAUGGUACGUGCGCGCCUCUACUACAACACGUACGUGCCUCUACUAUGACACGUGCAUGCCUCUACAUCCACCAGUAUGUACGUACACGUUCGCGAUCAGAAUGACAACGCUACGUACGCUUUGACCAGGUGGGUCCCGACUGUCAGACACUUCCUUGCGUGCGAAGAUGUAGCUGGUGGGUCCCAGCAGUCAGGGGGGCGAAUCAUUUUCUCGGACGCACUUCCUUGUGUGCAAAGAUGUAGCUGGUGGGUCCCAGCAGUCAGGGGGAAACGUUUUUUUGCGAAUUACAGUGGCCCGUCCGGUGGGUCCCAGCUGAGGUGGAGGAAUCAUUAUUUUCCGCGUAAUAAGGAGGCACUUCCUUGCUGCGGUCGUGGACCCAGCUGUCAGCCUCUCCACGUACAGUCCACGUCCGAUGGAAGUUGUUCCUUGACCACGUUGACCACGCCGCGCCGAGAGCACCACGGCGGUGGACGACGGCGAGGCCUAGGAAGGGGACGACGCAGAGCCGGGGAAGACGCGGCAGUGGAUGCACAUGCGGAGAGGAGUACGAGGGUUCACUGGUUCGGCUGCGGUGUGAGGCUGUCGUCGCCGCAGAAUAACAGGGGUUGUGGGUGAGUGGAGGGAUGGCCUGGCCAGCAGUGGGAGUAGUAGGGAGCGGUGAGGCCUCCGCGGCAGCACAGCCGACCACAGGAGGCAGGAGCAGGCGGCACGACCGGUGCUGCUUUGGGCGGCUGGAUCAAGAAGACCAGAGGUUGAAGAAGCACGACGGCCGUUGGAUGGACAUCAUACGGUCACUGCAGCUAGAAUCGUUUAUAUUGACUAAGUUGACAAAGCCCUUGGUACGUCAACUUAGUAGGCCCAUAGGUCAGCUUCCAAAAUGGUGCGCCCCAGAUGUCAGGGGGAGGAAUCAUUUUUUUGGGGGGAGGGGGGUGAAGAUAGAAUAUUCGAGAUUGAAGAAGAAGCACGUCAUCCGUUGGAUGGACAUCCAACGGCCACUGCUGGUAGAACCAUGUGUUGACUAUAAGUUGACAAAGCCUUGCAUACGCGUCAACUCUCUUUUUUUAGGGGAUGCAUCAACUUAGUAAGGCCAAAAGUGUGUGGCAGAGAACUUAUAGCCCAUUUGAGAUUUGUAAGAAUGUGCAACCCAUUUUUGAAUUCUAAUGGAAUUUACUACAGCCCAUUUACAGUUUGUUAAAAGUACAACCCAUUUCAACCAACCGUUCAAAAAAGAAUUCAAUAAAAUUUCCCACAUUUUGAUGGGAUCCGAAAUAUUUUUAUGCCGAAAUUUCUAGUCAGAUUAAAUACAAUUUCAAUAUAAAUUUAUAUUACGUAAAAAUCCAACGAAACAUUGCGCUUGCAACAAUUAAUGAAAUUAAAAUUUUCAAUAUCCAAAAAUAAUAUUUUAUAAAGUAAAUACGUGUUUGGUGCAUUUUUUAUAGUUACUGCCCUGUUUUUAUAAUUACAUCCCAUUUAUUAUUUCUUAAAGCCCAUUUUCUUGUUAAGCCUAAUGCAUCCCUCCUAGGAAAGAUUUGUAGCCCAGCGGGGCAGAGAAUAACAACUUGACCUUGCCUGGGUAUUCCUAAAAAAAGUAUAGCUGGGCUAGCCAUUUUCAGCUUGAAAAAAAUUAAUAUCUGGGCUGGAUAUCUGGCCUGGGCUAGACGGGCCACAACCCGCCCAGUUAAUACCUGCAGCGAUGUUUUCAUUGUUGUUCAGAGGAGAAAAAUUAAUAUCUGGGCUAAACUUCAAAAAACUCUGCAGUGCUCACACCUCAAAAACACAAAUACUGCUCGAGCUGCUUGGUCCCAGCUGUCGGCCGCUUCUUGUGCAAUUCUCUCAUUUAUUGACUACUCCCUCCUUUCCGGUUUAUAGUGCUCAAUUCAAAAAUCUCACCAGUCAAGGUAGAUGGCGAGUGGUGGCAUACUUUUUGUAGUUUUGCAAAAGCACCUAAUUAAUGCUCUUGUUAUCCUCAAAAAUCAUGUUUAUCAAUGCAUUAAUUGCAGUGCAUGCAUGCAUAAAGUACAUGCAUUGGUCAAUUUUCUUUUAGUACUUGCAUGCAAUGAUUUAAUGCACCUUGAAAUCUGAACAUGUGAUGGAAAACAAUCAAAUUGAGCCUUAUAAAAUGGAAAAACUAAAAUUUUGAGAUAAGCCCUAUAAACCGGAAAGGAGGGAGUACAUAGGUUGACAAUGGUGUGGGACCGUGAUGUCAGGAAACCAAGAGGAAGCAAAAUAAAUUAUAUAUAUAUAUAUAUAUAUAUAUAUAUAUAUAUAUAUAUAAUAAGGAGGCACUUGCGUACGUUAGGCUAUGGCCCUGGUGGGUCCCCAUUGUCAUCCUCUCCAAGUAAAGUCAUCUCCUCGCCCGCGCGCGCUUUCCGCCCGAAACAGUCAGCGCUGCCCCCUCGCUUCCCGGUGCAGGCGAUUGCUCUGCCUUCAAACGACACAAGUGCCGUCCGUCCGUCCAUCUGCCGCCCACAUUAAUGAUAUACGGUUGCCGAGGCGGCUACUCCGGCGCCACACGUCCGUCCCUCCGCCGCCCACCAUUGCUAUAUAAACUGCUGCGCCGGCCAUAGCCGCAGUCAUCCGCAUCCAUUCCCUUUCUCUUGUCCACACCACUACUGCCCACCAUGGUUUCCUCGCGCCCAAGCGCUCUUCAGGACGGGCGGACGACGGACCACAAGGAGAUGGCAGUCAUUGCUACCGACCGGAUGGCCGGCAGGCAGCCGGAGGACGACGACGUCCCAAUGGAGAACAUAGUAGUCGAUGAUCCGGCGCCAACCCCCUCCUCCGCGCCAUCCUCGCCGGUGCAUUGCACCAUGACCAUCAGCGAGGCCCGUGCCCAAUAUAUGGACAUGGUGAGGCAGAUGCGUGAGGAGUAGUUCUGGGAGGCCCAGGCCGAUGCCGCCUACAACCACCAUCUCCUCCAGGAGCACCCGCAGGCGGAGGAGCAGAUCGCUGCGAAGCAGGCGGAGCAGGAGGCGCUGCUUGACUCGUACCGCUCCACCCGUGAGGGCCACCUCGAGCGCUGGCGGUACCGCAUGCGGGUGGCGGAGGCUGCGGCCGCCUACAAAGAGGGCAAUGAAGUGGGCAAGGCGCUGUUUGGUGAGAUCGAGGACGAGGUAGAGGACAAUGCCAGCUCCGACGAGUGCCCGCUCCGCUGGCGUCGACGAGGCCCUGCUCCACCGAGGCCCCGCGGCGCCAAGAACAAGGCAGAGGACACCGCCGGCUUCGCCGAGGCCCCGCCCCGCCAACAACAAGGCAGAGGACAUUGCCAGCUCAGCCGAGGCCCCACCCUACUAGCAACGAGGGGGAGGAUUUCCACUGCUCCGCUGAGGCGCCGCCCGCCGGCAAUGAGAUAGAGGACAUCGCCGGCUCCACCGAGGCCCCGCCCCGCUGCCAACGAGGCCGCGCCACACAGAAACCAAGGAAGAGUAGAACACGGUAUGUCGCCGCCGCUCGGGUCCAAGCAAGGCCACCGCUGCUAUCCUCCGGUUGAAGCCAAGCUAGGAGGGUUGACCAUUGACGGUCGGUUAGCUUCUUGGCGGUGACGUGGGGUCAGAGAGCUGUGCUGGAGAAGAACACUGCUUCUACUUAACUGCUGGUGCAGUUGGCUGACUGACACAUGGGCCCAACAGGCCACGUGUUAGUUAUGCAACUGCACCUGUAGUUAAGUCACUGAAGCUUCUGUUCGGCUCAGCGGGACACAACUGGGUAGCUUCGGUUAAUUAAUUAUACCUCCAGCGCACCCCUUUUUAGUUGAAGAAUGUAUGAAAUGUAAUGAAAUCCGGCAUGUUUAUAUGAAAUCCGACCAUGUAUGAAUGAAUUUAUUUCGAUUAGUUUGAAUUGCUGUAUCACUGGCAUUGGAUGAACAUGCAAAACAAUACGUACUAGCAUUAUUCCCAGGGUGAUCACCUCGUUUGCAGCAGUUUCACAUGUACUCCCUCCGGUCCUUUCUAGUCUGCAUACAAGUUUUGUCUGCAGUCAAAGUAUCUCUACUCUGACCAAUCUUAUACAAAAAACUAUGCACUUUCACAAUGUGUCAAGUAAAAAGGAACAGAAGGAGUACAAAGAGUUUGAGCAGCUUUUUAGAGUUUCUGUACAUUGCAAUCAAACACACAGGGCUGGAAAUUCAUAGAGAACAUUCAAAACAAUCGAUGAUUAUGCAUCUCAACGACUCACAUGUCAGAGGCAAUAUUUACUUCACAACUAAAUAAUAAAGAAAAAAUUGAUCGACCCUGCUGACAGCAAAGGGCGUCCCAUUCGAAAAUAUCAAAUGCAUGUCUUGCUAAAAUCAAUGAGCAAAAUUUGACAAGGUUGUCCCACUCCAAAAUAUCAAAUGCCUACGAUUGUGGAAUGGGCAGGGUUUGCCAUCAGUUCGGACAUUGACAUGGCACCUCGUGCUAAAUAAACCAGUUGUUCUUUUUGUGCAGUUCCACCAAAAUCAACCAAAUUCGCGCGUAGCUUGUAUGAUCUCGCCCUUAUAUGUUGCAACGCCUUGAACUUAUCGGCACCUCCUUUCUUGUGGUGGAAAUGAAUGAUUCGAUGUAUUCAUGAACAUUUUGUGCAGUUCCCAUUGAAAUCAAGCUGAGCACCCCUGUUUGCACAAAUACAAAAAAGUGAUUAGUAUAAAGCAAACUGUACUAUGAAUUGAUAGUUUAAACAGGCACCUACAUGGUCCAUGUAGAGCACACUUUUAGAAAAAUGGAACUCACCAGAAAGAAUCCUAGAAUAACAUUGUACACGCUCAUCACAGCAAAAAAUGGAGAUUUGUCAGUCCUUCUGAGCUGAAGUUAGUUUGUCUUGUGGGGAGUAAUGUAACCACCCUUCAACUGCUCCUUCUGAUGAGAAGAUAGACAGGGCUUCUUCAUCCUGGCAUAAUCGGAACUAGUCACUUCACGUACUCCAUAUUCUUCUUCAGAGAAUGAUGAUCCUAUUGUGCAAAGACAAGAGGACUACUAAAUGCUAGCAUCCCUAUUUGCUCGAAAAAAAGGAAAGGAAAUAUUUAAAACAGCACAGAUGAAGCACUUCUCAAGGACAAUACCACCUUUUCAUGAUAGUAUCUAAACAGUAGCACAACACCAAUAGAGAUGACAAAGCUCAAUCAUGUGGAUGAAAUCAGUGGGCGAGUACCAACCUUUGUCAUGAAGCUUAUUGUGUAGAGCAUACAGAUGAAGCACUUCUCCGGAACCAUCUGUUGCUAUCUACUGUGGUGGCCAUGCUUACUAUAUACUCCUCAAUUAGUUUAAUGUUUCCAACAUCUUCUUGUGCAGUUCCACUAAAAUAUAUGGUAUCUUCAAAGAAGAUCCCUGUUUGCACAAGUAGAGAUAAUUACGUAUUACAUUAAGAGUGUCAUCAAAUCAGUGGCAAAACAAUUGCUCGUUCCAGCCAUAGCAAUAAAUUAAGAUGCAAAACUAUAUCAUUACUUGUGUCAUCACAGUUCCAGUGCUUCAUUACGGCACCGGGAGUUGAUUUUUGUUUUUCCGCUUGUUCUUCCCCUUCAUCAAUUGGUUCAAUAACAGACAAGCUUCGCCUUCAAUGUAAGAUUUGGCAUGUCAAUUAGGGAGCAGAAGUAUAGCACUAAACAAUGACAUUAAUUUUCUGAUGAAAGUGGCAAAAUACAGGCCAAUAGUUGUGAAAUAUCCUUAUCUUACCUCAAUGGGAUAUUAUGGUGCACAUACAAAUUGGAAGUCUUGUCUCCAUUUGUGCAGUUCACAAAAAUCAAGCAACAUUACCAUACAAGUAGCACAACAUAUGAAAGCACACUGCAGAAUCAUGUGAAAGAAGGCUAGUACUGACCUCUCACGAUGCGGAAUUCAAACAACUCACAAGAAGAAGAUCUGAACCAAAUUCGCCAACAUGGAUAGGAAGUAAGAUCUCCUCUUGUGCAGUUCCACUAAGAUCAAGCAAUCAAGCAACGUUGUCGGUGUGAAAUUUUGGUUGAACUGCACAAAACACUCUUAAAACAAAAGUGUUUUGUGCAGUGCAACAAAAGGUCACAAUGGCAACGAGGUCAAGUAGAUAACCCUGUUUACAUAGAGGUGCAAAGGAAACAACUAGUGGUCAAUAACGGUGGAUGACACAUAAGCCAACAAAAAGAAGCACCUACCUUAUCUAGAUGGGAAAGAAAGCAAGACAGUAUCAUUUCUCAAAUGGUGGCAUUGAUUAAUAUUAACAUAGAGAUUAUAUUAACAAUAAAAUUCAUUAAACAUGUAAUUUGCUUUUAACUGUGGCACUGCAUCAAUUUUCCAGCGGCAUUAUUAGAGGGUGUUUGUUUACAGGGACAUUUUGGUGUAGGGACUAAAAAAACUCCGUGUUAGUCCCAUCUAAACCAAGAAGGAUGGACUUUUAGGGACUAAAAGUGGGCAUUUUUGGGACUAAAGAAAGAAGACCCUGAGGGAGUCUUUUUGGGACUUUUUCCAACAGUUGCCCCUGCCACGCAUUGCACCUUGUCUCUAUUAGUUCAUUACUAGGGGUAAGAUGGUAUUUUAGCAUGUCAUUUAAUAACCUCUAGUCCAUGUUUAGUCCCUGGAACCAAGCAUGUAGGGACUAGGGAGUUUUUUUAAUCAAACAGGGCCUUAGAUUAACAACAACUAAAGAGUUGCACGGGACAGUGGACACACCAGCACCAUGUGCAUCUACCGAUGUACUGUGGUCAUGCACAGUCUAUUGCAACAAAGAACAAACAACCAAGGAGCAUAUUUGUGUUGGUCCUAAUUUUGUUAUCUUUAGACACCUUUCCCUAUGUGAGCGCAACAAAUCUAGUCCUGCUCAAACUCUACACCCUUGUCCUCCAAAACAAAAGAUCAGUUCGUUACAGAUGUGCGUACUGCGUUUGUCAUUGUUUUCCCUUUUCGACCAACGUAGGUGCUGGAUAGCCAGUCUGUACUAGUACUUUCGCCCCUUCCUUUCCUCUUUGAACCACGUCCUAGAUUUAUGUGAUACAACUUUCCCACUACUUUCCCACACUCCUUUCCUCUUUGAACCACGUCCUAGAUUCCUGGUAUACAUGCAGCUAGAGCAAUGCAUGUGGAAUAAGUAAAUUAUACCUUAAGGUUCUUGGGGCAUGGUUCGGUGGGCGUCGGGACAGCGGCGAAGAAGAAGGGGUUGGCGGCCCUCCCGCGCCGCCGCUGGGUGAAAGUGAACAGCUGCGCCGGUAGUGGAUUCCCUCCCUCGCUGACGGCGACAAUGUUAAGCCUCCUUCCCUUCUUGGCGGACGGAUCCUGUCGGCUCUUUGAGCAGCAGUUAGGGGAGAGAGAGGCCAAUGAAGUCUUGUUUAGAUCUGGAGAGGGUGAGAGAGUGUGAAGAGAGCAACUACAAGUGCCGAGGCUCCAGCGUCUAUAUAUAUACUAGAGAGAGAGUGUGAAGUGUGCAAACCCUAGAAAACAAGCGCCGAGGCUACAACUUAUAGAGUACGUGAUGAGGUGAUUAUACGGUCACUACGAGAUCGUAUAGCUCCGAAUCCAUCCAUUUUGAACAAUCAAAGAAUCCUCCUGGCACAAAUUAUGCUCAAGUGUAGUUAUCGAACCCGAGACCUCAAGUUUUUUUUGAGUGGAACCCGAGACCUCAAGUUUGAUGAGCGAACAGACUAACUAACUACACAACCCUCCCGUUAUGUUCAACGAGAGGAAAAUAACCUUUUAUACAUUCCUGGAUUCGUGUGACAAGCAUGCCGUGUUUUUUUGUGUGUGGGAGUCAUUGGGAUUUAAAUCAUAAUCGUGUCAUGUGGCUUUGGUGGUAAGACUAUCCACUGUGGUGCAAAAAUAAUGCAGCCUUAGUCACCUUACCUCUCUCCACGUAGUACGUUGGGUCCAACCAGUCAGAGGGUGAAACAAAAAAAUUAAUAAGAAAAAAUAAAAGCGCCAGCGGUGUAUCUUACCUCACACAUCUCGCUACUGCUCGGGAACACUGUCCAAUUGAUCCCUCUGUUCGCUCACGUACUAUUUUAAGUGAAUCCUUAUUAUAACAUGCACACCAUUUUGGGCACUUGUAUUCGACCUAAGUCAGUGUGCCACUGAUGACCCACAAGUAUAGGGGAUCUAUCAUAGUCCUUUCGAUAAGUAAGAGUGUCGAACCCAACGAGGAGCAGAAGGAAAUGAUAAGCGGUUUUCAGCAAGGUAUUCUCUGCAAGUACUGAAAUAACUGGUAACAGAUAGUUUUGUGAUAAGAUAAAUGGUAACGAGCAACAAGUAACAAAAGUAAAUAAAGUGCAGCAAGGUGGCCCAAUCCUUUUUGUAGCAAAGGACAAGCCACUAGAGGUUAGACAACAUACAUCUUAUCAAAAUAUCGAACGAAUACCAAAUUCACAUGACUACUAAUAGCAAGACUUCUCCCUUGUCCUCAGGAACAAACGUAACUACUCACAAAGCAUAUUCAUGUUCAUAAUCGGAGGGGUAAUAAUAUGCAUAAAGGAUCUGAACAUAUGAUCUUCCACCAAAUAAACCAACUAGCAUCAACUACAAAGAGUAAUCAACACUACUAGCAACCUACUAGCACCAAUCCCGGACUUGGAGACAAGAAUUGGAUACAAGAGAUGAACUAGGGUUUGGAGAUGAGAUGGUGCUGGUGAAGAUGUUGAUGGAGAUUGCCCUCUCUCAAUGAGAGGAGCGUUGGUGAUGAUGAUGGCGAUGAUUUCCCCCUCCCGGAGGGAAGUGUCCCCGGCAGAACAGCUCUGCCGGAGCCCUAGAUUGGUUCAGCCAAGGUUCCGCCUCGUGGUGGCGGAGUCUCGUCCCGAAAGGUUUCUUCCUAUUUUUUUUCUCAUCGAAAGACUUCAUAUAGGAGAAGAUGGGCGUCAGAGAGCCACCAGGGGGCCCAUGAGGUAGGGGGGCAUGCCCCCCACCCUCGUGAGCAGGGUGUGGGCCCCUGGCCUUCAUCUUUGGCGACGAUUUUUCUUUAUUUAUUUUAAGAUAUUCCGUGGAGUUUCAGGACUUUUGGAGUUGCGCAGAAUAGGCCUCCAAUAUUUGCUCCUUUCCCAGCCAGAAUUCCGGCUGCCGGCAUUCCCCCUCUUCAUGGUAAACCUUGUAAAAUAAGAGAGAAUAGCCAUAAGUAUUGUGACGUAUCGUGAAAUAACAGCCCAUAAUGCGAUAAAUAUCGAUAUAAAAGCAUGAUGCAAAAUGGACGUAUCAACUCCCCCAAGCUUUGACCUCGCUUGUCCUCAAGCGAAAAGCCGAUAACAAUAAAUAUGUCCUCAUGUUUAGAAGUAGAGGCGUCGAUAAAAAUAAAAUACGGACAUGAAGGCAUCAUGAUUAUUUUCAUAACAACAACAUAUAUAGAUUUGUCAUAUGAUUACUUAUGUUCAAGUGAUGAUCUUUUCACAAAGCCAAAGUAUGAAUCAUAAACCUUAUUGAGCACCAACAAUUUAUACCCUCAGUCAUUGAAGCAAUUGCAAUUUAUCAUAACAUCGGAAAGAGUCUAUGUUAGAGCUUAAAAGCAAGUCCACAUACUCAACUAUCACUUAGUCCUUCAUAAUUGCUAACACUCACACGAUACUUGUGGUUAUGGAGUUUUAAUCGGACACAGAGAAAGGUAGGGGUUAUAGUUUUUCCCCACAACCUUUUACCUCAAGGGUAAUGUCAACAAUAAUAAUUCACGCUCCCCCACAUCCAAUUAGAUAUAUGUAUCAUGUUCUUUCCAACAUGCGGAGCUUGCCAAAGGAUAAAAUGAAAAAGGAAAGGUGAAGAUCACCGUCACUCUUGCAUAAGGUAGAGGAUAAUAAUAAAAGAUAGGCCCUUCGCAGAGGGAAGCAGAGGGUGCCAUGCGCUUUUAUGGUUGGAUGCACAAAAUCUUAAUGCAAAAGAACGUCACUUCAUAUUGCCCCAUGUAUGUGAACCUUUAUUAUGCAGUCCAUUGCUUUUAUUGCGUCCACAACAAGUUCGUACAAAGCUUAUUUCUCUGCACUAAUAAGUCAUGCAUAUUUAAAGAGCAAUUUUUAUUGCUUGCACCGAUGACAACUUACUUGAAGGAUCUUACUCAAUCCAUAGGUAGAUAUGGUGGACUCUCAUGGCUAAACUGGUUUAAGGGUAUUUGGAAGCACAAGUAGUAUCUCUACUUGGUGCUGAGAAUUUGGCUAGCAUAAGGGGGAAAGGCAAGCUCAACACGGUAGAGGAUCCAUGACAACAUACUUUAUCUCGGAUGUAAGAAAACAUAACUCAUUAUGUUGUCUUCCUUGUCCAACCUCAACUCUUUAGCAUGUCAAAUUUUAAUGAGUGCUCCCAAUCAUAAAAGAUGUCAAUGAUAAUAUAUCUAUAUGUGAAACUUCUCUUUCCUUAUUACUUCCUAUUAAUUGCAACGAUGACCAAAGCUAUAUUUGCCAACUCCCAACAACUUUUAAUCAUCAUACUCUUUCUAUGUGAAGUCAUUACUUUCAACAAGAUCAAUAUGAACUCUUUGAUUCUUUUUAUUCCUUUUUUUUCUAAUCACCCAAGAUCAUGGCAAAGUAAUCAAGCCCUUGACUCAACACUAAUCUUUAUUAUAUAUAGCUCACAGACUCGAUUGCAUAGAGGGAUAAUAAAGCAAAACUCAAAACUAGAUCGUGCCAUGACUUUAUUCUACUAAAUCAAGAUACUACUAAUAGGAUCGAACUAAAAAAACGGUAAAGAUAGGAGUUGUGAUGGUGAUACGAUACCGGGGCACCUCCCUCAAGCUUGGGAGUUUCCAAGGGGAGUGCCCAUACCCAUGUGAUUAUGUCUCCUUCUUUGUUGUUGGCGGUGGAGGUGUUGUUGAUGAUGCAAGCUUGUCGUCCACCUUCCAUGGCAUAGGCCCACCCUCAUAGAAGGAUGAUCGAGUCUCCGGAAUCCUCCGAUCUGCAACGGAAACAACUCAAAACAAAAACAGAGGAUAUCUGCGUGAUAGGGUCGUCAAAACCUUCUGGAGAAUAUAUAAUGAAUUUUUACCGACCAAAAUACGUAUCGUGCAAGAAAACGGAGUCCGGAGGGCACACGAGGUGCUCAUGAGGUAGGGGGGCACGCCCAGAGGGGUAGGGCGCGCCCUCCACCCUCGUGGAGGCCUCGUGUCCUCCUCGGACUGCUACUUAUUUUUCUAUUUUUCUAAAUAUUCCAAAACGGAGAAAUAUUGCCUUAGAAUUUAUUUUGGGGUCAGUUUACUUACCGUACCACAUACCUAUUCCUUUUCGAAGUUUGGAACAUUCUGGAAAGUGUCCCUUAUGUAUUCCUCCGGGGUUACGGUUUCAAUAAUAUUAGUUUCAACAUUUAUAGGAUUACCUGAGAUGUAGUGUUUGAUCCUUUGACCGUUUACCACCUUCGGAUUUGUGCCUUCGAAGUUGUUGAUUUUUAUGGCACCAGAACGAUAGACCUCCUUGAUAACGUAAGGGCCUUCCCAUUUAGAGAGAAGCUUUCCUGCAAAAAAUCUUAAACGAGAGUUGUAUAGCAAUACAUAAUCACCUACAUUAAACUCACGCUUUUGUAUCCUUUUGUCAUGCCAUCUUUUAACUUUUUCUUUAAACAACUUGGCAUUUUCAUAGGCUUGGGUUCUCCAUUCAUCAAGUGAGCUAAUAUCAAAUAACCUCUUCUCACCAGCAAGUUUGAAACCAUAGUUGAGCUCUUUAAUAGCCCAAUAUGCCUUAUGUUCUAGUUCAAGAGGUAAGUUACAUGCUUUUCCAUAAACCAUUUUAUACGGAGACAUACCCAUAGGAUUCUUAUAUGCAGUUCUAUAGGCCCAUAAUGCAUCAUCAAGUUUCUUGGACCAAUUCUUUCUAGACCUAUUAUAAGUCUUUUGCAAAAUUAAUUUGAGCCCUCUAUUACUCAAUUCUACCUGACCACUAGACUGCGGGUGAUAAGGAGAUGCAAUUCUAGGAUUAACAUCAUAUUUAGCAAGCAUCUUACGGAAAGCACCAUGAAUAAAGUGUGAACCACCAUCAGUCAUUAAGUAUCUAGGGACUCCAAACCUCGGAAAAAUAACUUCCUUAAGCAUUUUAAUAGAAGUGUUAUGAUCAGCACUACUAGUUGGAAUAGCUUCUACCCACUUAGUAACGUAAUCAACAGCAACUAGAAUAUGAGUGUAACCAUUAGAGGCAGGAAAAGGUCCCAUAUAAUCAAAGUCCCAAACAUCAAAUGGCUCAAUAGCAAGUGAAUAAUUCAUAGGCAUUUCUUGACGUCUACUGAUAUUACCAAUUCUUUGACAUUCAUCGCAAGAUAAAACAAACUUACGGGCAUCCUUGAAGAGAGUAGGCCAAUAAAAACCGGAUUGCAAUACCUUAUGUGCAGUUCUAUCUCUAGCGUGGUGUCAUCCAUAGGCUUCGGAGUGACACUUGCGUAGGAUCUGUUCCUGUUCAUGCUCAGGUACACAACGUGUAAUAACACCAUCUACUCCUUCUUUAUAAAGAUGUGGGUCAUCCCAAAAGUAAUGUCGCAAGUCAUAGAAAAACUUUUUCUUUUAUUGGUAUGUGAAGCUAGGCGGUAUAAAUUUAGCAACAAUAUAAUUACAUAAUCAGCAUACCACAGAGUGCUACGAGAAGUACUUAUGACAUUUAAUUGCUCAUCAGGAAAGCUAUCAUCAAUAGGUAGUGGGUCAUUUAGAACAUUCUCUAGCCUAGACAAGUUGUCUGCAACGGGGUUCUCAGCUCCUUUUCUAUCAACAAUAUGUAAAUCAAAUUCUUGGAGCAAGAGGACCCAUCUAAUGAGUCUAGGUUUUGCAUCUUUCUUUUCCAUAAGAUAUUUAAUAGCAGCAUGAUCUGUAUGAAUAGUUACUCUAGAAUCAAUAAUAUAGGGUUUGAAUUUAUCACAAGCAAAUACAACCGCUAAAAGUUCCUUUUCGGUAGUAGCAUAAUUUCUUUGAGCAUUGUCUAGAGUCUUACUAGCAUAAUGGAUAACAUUUAAUUUCUUAUCAACUCUUUGCCCUAGAACAACACCUACAGCAUAAUCACUAGCAUCACACAUAAUUUCAAAAGGGAAAUUCCAAUCAGGUGGCUGAACAAUAGGUGCAGAGACUAAUGCUUUCUUAAGUAUUUCAAAUGCUUCUACACAAUCAUCAUCAAAGACAAAUGGUACAUCUUUUUGUAAUAAAUUAGUCAGAGGCCGAGAGAUUUUUGAGAAGUCCUUAAUGAACCUCCUAUAAAAUCCGGCGUGACCAAGGAAACUUCUUAUACCUUUGAUGUCCUUGGGACAUGUCAUCUUUUCAAUAGCAUCAACCUUGGCUUUAUCGACUUCAAUACCUCUUUCAGAAACAUUGUGCCCCAAGACAAUACCUUCAUUAACCAUAAAGUGGUACUUUUCCCAAUUCAGGACAAGAUUAGUUUCUUCACAUCUCUGCAAAACUCGAGCAAGAUUGCUCAAGCAAUCAUCAAAAGAGGAACCAUAGACGGAAAAGUCAUCCAUGAAAACCUCACAAAUUUUCUCGCAAAAGUCAAAGAAUAUAGCCAUCAUUCAUCUUUGAAAGGUAGCAGGUGCAUUACAUAAACCAAAAGGCAUACGUCUAUAAGCAAAAGUACCAAAACGGCAUGUAAAAGUAGUCUUUUAUUGAUCCUUAGCCGACCCAGGUAUUUGAGAAAAACCAGAAUAACCAUCUAGAAAGCAAUAGUGUGUAUGUUUGCAUAAUAUUUCUAGCAUUUGAUCAAUAAAAGGUAAGGGGUAAUGAUCUUUCUUAGUAGCCUUAUUUAGUUUGCGGAAAUCAAUUACCAUCCUAUAACUGUGAUAAUUCUUUGCGGAAUCAAUUCAUCUUUAUCAUUAGGGACAACAGUAAUACCUCCCUUCUUAGGGGCACAAUGGACAGGACUUACCCACUAACUAUCAGCAACGGGAUAAAUUAUACCUGCCUCCAGAAGCUUGAGUAUUUCCUUUCUUACCACUUAUUUCAUUUUAGGAUUCAAACAUCGUUGAGGAUCACAAACUGGUUUGGCAUCAGCUUCCAAAUUUAUUUUAUGUUGACAUAGGGUGGGACUGAUGCCCUUAAGAUCAUCCAGAGUAUAUCCAAUAGCAGAACAGUGCUUUUUCAGAAUUUUCAAUAAUCUUUCUUCUUCAUGCUCUGAAAGGUUAGCACUAAUAAUAACAUGAUAUAUUUUCUUUUCAUCAAGAUAAGUAUACUUAAGAUUAUCAGGCAACGGUUUAAGCUCAAACACGGGAUCACCCUUGGGUGGAGGAGGAUCCCCUAGGAUUUCAACAGGCAAAUUUGUUUCAGAAUAGGUUCUUGUUUAAAGAAUACUUCAUCUAAUUCCCUUCUUUCAUUCAUGAACAUCUCAUUUUCAUGGUCUAGCAAAUAAUGCUCUAAAGGAUCACUAGGAGGUACAGCAAUAGAAGCAAGACCAAUAAUUUCAUCCUUACUAGGCAAUUCUUCCUCACGAUGUUGUUUACUAAAUUUAGAGAAAUUAAACUCAUGAGCCAUAUCAUCCAAGCCAAUAGUAACAACUUUCUUUUCGCACUCUAUCUUAGCAUUAACAGUAUUCAAGAAGGGUCUACCAAAUAUAAUGGGACAAAAUCUAUCUUGUGGAGAACCAAGAACAAGAAAAUCAGCGGGAUAUUUGGUUUCCCACACAAGACUUCAACAUCUCUAACAAUUCCCAUUGCAGAUAUAGUAUCUCUAUUGGCAAGUUUAAUCGUAACAUCAAUAUCUUCUAACUCAGUAGGUGCGAUAUCAUGCAUAAUUUCUUUAUAUAAGUCAAUGGGUAUAACACUAGCACUAGAACCUAUAUCACAUAAGCCAUGAUAACAAUGAUCUCCUAUUUUAACAGAAAUAACAGCCACACCUACCACGGGUCUAUGUUUAUCUCUAUCACAGGGUUUAGCAAUUCUAGCAGUUUCACCAGAGAAUUCAAUGACAUGCCCAUCAAUAUUAUCGGACAAGAGAUCUUUAACAAUAGCAAUAUUAGGUUCUACUUUGACUUGCUCAGGAGGUGUAUAAGUUCUAGUAUUUCUUUUACGAACAACAGUUGAAGCUUUAGCAUGAUCCUUUACUCUAGCAGGGAAAGGUGGUUUCUCAACAUAAGAGGUGGGAACAAUAGGAUCAUUAUAAGUGAUGGUCUUUUCUUCAACUUUAAUAGGUGCAACUACUUUUACUUCUAUGGGAGAAUGAUAUUUAAACCACUUCUCCUUGGGGAGAUCAACAUAAGUAGCAAAAGAUUCACAGAAAGAAGCUACUAUAUCAGAGUCAAGUCCAUAUUUAGUGCUAAACUUGCGGAAAAUAUCGGUAUCCAUAAAAGAUUUAACACAAUCAAACUUAGGUGUCAUACCUGACUCCUUACCUUCGUCGAGGUCCCAAUCUUCAGAGUUGCGUUUAAUUCUAUCCAAUAAAUUCCAUCUGAAUUCAAUAGUCUUCAUCAUAAAAGAGCCAACACAAGAAGUGUCGAGCAUGGUUUGAUUAUUAUGAGAAAGCCGAGCAUAAAAAUUCCGGAGAAUUGUCAAUUUUGAGAGCUCAUGAUUGGGGCAUGAAUAUAACAUUUAUUUAAGCCUCCCCCAAGCUUGAGCGAUGCUUUCUCCUUUGCGAGGCCAAAAAUUAUAUAUAUAAUUACAAUCACGAUGAACAAGAUGCAUAGGGUAAUACUUUUGAUGAAAUUCCAAUUUCACUCUUUUAUAGUUCCAUGAUCUCGUAUCAUCACAUAGCCGAUACCAUGUCGAUGCGUCUCCCUCCAAAGAUAAAGGGAAAGCCUUCUUCUUAACAACAUCAUCGGGCAUACCUGCAAGCUUAAAUAAUCACAAAUAUCAUCCAAAUAGCGUAGAUGCUCGUCAGGAUGCUUUGUUCCAUCUCCUGUAAAAGUAUUAGCCAGCAAUUUUUCUAUAAUACCCGAAGGAAAUUCAAAAGGAGUUUCAUUUUCAAUAGGUUCAGUAGGUUGAGGAGCAACUCUUUGCUCUACUGGACGGGGUGAAGAUACCCCGAACAAGCCCCUCAGAGAUUCACUUUCCAUAGUAACAAGUGACAGAAAAUUGCAGCAUACUAUAUAAAUUUUUCCUUACCAAAUUCCACUUACCAAAGGAGCUACACUCCCCGGAAACGGCGCAAGAAAAGAGUCUUGAUGACCCACAAGUAUAGGGGAUCUAUCAUAGUCCUUUCCAUAAGUAAGAGUGUCGAACCCAACGAGGAGCAGAAGGAAAUGAUAAGCGGUUUUCAGCAAGGUAUUCUCUGCAAGUACUGAAAUAAGUGGUAACAGAUAGUUUUGUGAUAAGAUAAAUGGUAACGAGCAACAAGUAACAAAAGUAAAUAAAGUGCAGCAAGGUGGCCCAAUCCUUUUUGUAGCAAAGGACAAGCCUGGACAAACUCUUAUAAUAGGAAAAGAGCUCCUGAGGACACAUGGGAAUAUCAUCAAGCUAGUUUUCAUCACGCUCAUAUGAUUCGCGUUUGGUACUUUGAUAAUUUGAUAUGUGGGUGGACCGGUGCUUGGGUACUGCCCUUACUUGGACACGCAUCCCACUUAUGAUUAACCUCUAUUGCAAGCAUCCGCAACUACAACAAAAAUAUUAAGGUAAACCUAACCAUAACAUGAAACAUAUGGAUCCAAAUCAGCCCCUUACGAAGCAACACAUAAACUAGGGUUUAAGCUUCUGUCACUCUAGCAACCCAUCAUCUACUUAUUACUUCCCAAUGUCUUCCUCUAGGCCCAAAUAAUGGUCAAGUGUUAUGUAGUCGACGUUCACAUAACACCACUAGAGGUUAGACAACAUACAUCUUAUCAAAAUAUCGAACGAAUACCAAAUUCACAUGACUACUAAUAGCAAGACUUCUCCCUUGUCCUCAGGAACAAACAUAACUACUCACAAAGCAUAUUCAUGUCCAUAAUCAGAGGGGUAAUAAUAUGCAUAAAGGAUCUGAACAUAUGAUCUUCCACCAAAUAAACCAACUAGCAUCAACUACAAAGGGUAAUCAACACUACUAGCAACCUACUAGCACCAAUCCCGGACUUGGAGACAAGAAUUGGAUACAAGAGAUGAACUAGGGUUUGGAGAUGAGAUGGUGUUGGUGAAGAUGUUGAUAGAGAUUUCCCUCUCCCGAUGAGAGGAGCGUUGGUGAUGAUGAUGGCGAUGAUUUCCCCCUCCCGAAGGGAAGUGUCCCCGGCAGAACAGCUCUGCCGGAGCCCUAGAUUGGUUCCGCCAAGGUUCCGCCUCGUGGCGGCGGAGUCUUGUCCCAAAAGGUUUCUUCCUAUUUUUUUUCUCAUCGAAAGACUUCAUAUAGGAGAAGAUGGGCGUCGGAGAGCCACCAGGGGGCCCACGAGGUACGGGGGUGCGCCCAGGGGGGAGGGGCGCACCCCACCCUAGUGAGCAGGGUGUGGGCCCCCUGUUCCUUCAUCUUUGGCGACGAUUUUUCUUUAUUUAUUUUAAGAUAUUCCGUGGAGUUUCUGGACUUUUGGAGUUGCGCAGAAUAGGUCUCCAAUAUUUGCUCCUUUCCCAGCCAGAAUUCCGGCUGCCGGUAUUCCCCCUCUUCAUGGUAAACCUUGUAAAAUAAGAGAGAAUAGCCAUAAGUAUUGUGACAUAUCGUGAAAUAACAGCCCAUAAUGCGAUAAAUAUCGAUAUAAAAGCAUGUUGCAAAAUGGACGUAUCAGCCACCGUAUCUCGUACUUACUACUCCCUCCGCCUUGGUGUAAUAAGUCACAUUAGUAGGUGCAGCGGGACCAAGGUGCGUGUGUGUGUGUGUGUGUGUGUGUGUGUGUUUAACAACAUGUGUGUGUUAGAGAGAGCGACAGAUCGACCUACUCCUACAGAGAGAUUGUGUGUAGUGUACGAUUUUAGCCACGAGAGUCGGUGCAUCCUCUUGUUUCCGGGCGUGUCCGGUAGGGAUAGGAGGACAACUGCCAUGCCCGCUCCUCACCAGCUUGGCCCACCCAAAGCCCCUCCAUCGCCCGCGCGCGCUUCCCACCCAAAACGGUCAGCGCCACUCCAAAGAAUCGGUGCCGCAUUCAUGCCCGGGCAGAGUGGACACGACCUCUGAAUGGCGCAAGAGUGAUGGUUGCUUCGUCCGUCCAACUUACUGCUGGGUCUAUGUGAUUUGACGGCUCAUUGGUCUUUAUUACUGAGGUCGUAGGACUGCUGGAUGUCCCAUGCUUUCGGCGAAAGGAGGUACUACUAGAUUACAAUUUUCUCCGUUCUUACAGUGGAGGAGUGCAAGAGCAGUGAAAACACGCAUGCUCAGUGAUUACAUGGCCCACCUCACACUAUCACCAUAUUUUCUGGACACCGUGCGACACCUAACUCUUUACAUAGUACUCCCUCCGUUCCUAAAUACUACUAGAUGAGUCCCCGCGUGUUGCCGCGGAACAGCCGUAUAUCUCUCUGCGUAAAAUUAUCGAUUUCAUAGAACUAAAGAAAACUCUAUAACUGCAUGACAAAUGUGGUAGCCAAACUAAAAUUUUUCUUUUUGACAUGUUAAUGGGACUUAAAAUCUCACUUACAUGCAUGCUACCGGUGCAUGCUUGUGUGCAGACAUGUUGAUGUGAUUUAAAACACACUCACAUGCAUGCCACGGUAUUUCUGCAUGCUUUCAUGUGGCUUAGUGCGGAGCCUCUCAACGUCUAGAUCAGACGACUAUUAUGGACUGAUUUAGUUCAUCCAACGGCUACAUUAAUUUUAAUGAUGUGGCUCAAGGAGAGGAUAGUGAAUUCCUAGUAGUGGGGGCUAGCUAUUACUAGUAGAUAAGUCUUUGUAGCGAUUCCACUAGGUGAACUACAUACAGAACAAAAUGAAUGAAUCUACACUUCAAAUGCAUCUAUAUACAUCCGCAUGUGGUUCAUGGUAAAAUUUCUACAAAGACUUAUAUUUAGGAACGGAGGAAGUACUAGUAUAGUACGUACUGUAAUUUAUCAGCGAGAUAAAUUUGUACAAUGCUAUGAAGCUUCCAGCUUCUGUUACAUGUAUCUUGCGUCCAAGGUUGCCCGUUGCAACAUUUCAUCAAAUACAAAGGAGACUAACAUGCAUGCUAUUGCAUCUCAAUGAUUGACAGAUCAUAGCAAAUAUGUACUCCCUCCAUUCCAAAAUAAGUGUCUCAACUUUAUGCAAACUUUAGUACAAAGUUGUACUACUACUAAAGUUGACACUUAUUUUGGAACAAAGGCAACUAAAGAAAAAAAUGAUCCAUGCAGUCCUUAGCCCUUGAAUCGUGAAUCCUAACCAUGCUUCAAUUUGCUGGCAACGUUCGAGCUUCCUAAGAAAUGAAGUUUGCAACCUUUUGACCAUUGGAUCAUUUUGUGAAGUUUCACCAAAAUCGAGAUGAGCAUCCCUGUGGCAAAGAAAUUGAAGAAGCGUGAUUAGAAUAAGAUUACUGGGACUAGUUGAUGAGACAUAAACUCAUCACAAAUACAGUAUGUAGAAGCCAGUAGAGGUAUGUGCAGGGCAAAGAAGUAGAGAAAUAUCCACAUGGAGUGAUGUGGGCAGCUGGAGCAGUGGUGCAAGCCGGCUGUAAAGGGAGUUGUACCUGAGGGACGUAGCUCAACCUUGAGGAGGGUGGCGGGAGGCGGCAACUGCCCAUGUUGCGGCAGUGAGCAAGGGACGAGGCAACCUCACUGUCUUUUUGAGAGAGAACGGCGGGGACCCCUGAUCGGGACGUGCCGACAGUGGGUUUUCGCUGUCGGCGACGGCGACCGCAUCUACACUAAGCAUCCACCCCUUCCCCCGGCGGACGUGAUCCGCCGAGAUAUUAGAGAUGUGGCCGCAGUCAUUUUGUGCGAGAGAGUGUGAAGAGAGCAACCCCAGCAAGCAACCGUGUAGGCUGGCUCGUCCUGACUAUGUAUAUAGUGGAGCGGUUUCCUUUUGUCUCCAAUGAACCUAUCAUAUUGCGUACAUGCCACUGAAGAAAAAAAACUUUAUUUAUAAAUGACGCAGCACCUACUACUCGUUCUCCUAUAACCUUGCGCCUGGCAUCUCCAAAAUAUUAACCUUGCGAUUGGCUGUUCGCCUCUUCGGGAAGUCGAGCAAUAAUGGUAGUGCGGUGUAUAUCGUUCUGGCUAUAUGAGACCGAAUGAAUUGCUGCACAUCCUCCAUGUGGGCGAGGGUCGAGGGGCGAGGGAGAGUGCUAUAUACGGAGCAAAAUGAGUGAAUCUACACUCUAAAAUACGUCUGUAUACAUCAGUGUUUGGAGUAUCACUACAAAAAAAUACACUUCCGUGAUGGUACGUGUUUGUCACAGUAGGUCGUGUUUUUUGUCAUGCAUGUACAUCCAUGACAAAUUUGUGAUAGAAUCAAGAUAGUCAUACCCGUGCUGUCGUAGAAGUGUUCCAUGACAUUACCAAUAUUAACAUCACGGAAGUGUCCACUUCCAUGACGAUAAAUCGCGCGUCACAGAAGUGCUUUCGUCAAGAGUGACCGACACGUGGCAUCCACCGUAACGGAACGCCGUUAAGCUAUCGGGUCGGGUUUUGGAUCCGAUAACCCGUUAACAGCCCCGACAAAUGGGGAUUUUCCACGUGUAAAAUCAUCAUUGGCUGGAGGAAACACGUGUCGGCUCGUUGUUGGGACAGAUGUCAUCCACACAUUGGACAGAAGGCGCCUAUGAUAUGUCAACACAUGGCACGACCCAACAGAGGCCCAUUCCUGUUUAAAGGCCGGCCUGUUUGACUUGGUCAAAAGGUGACGGGCUGGCCCAUGGAAAGCCUGUUAACGGCCUGUUCGCAUAUAGCCCAUUUACAGCCCGCUAACCCAAGGCCCAUUACGCCCUAUCCGAAUUAGGCCCAGUAGCAUCAUCUGGGCCAUCCAAUAUGAUUCUAGCCCAUUUUCACUUCUGGCCCAUGUAUGGCCCAUGACGUCUUUCGGCCCAUAUGAGGCCCUAUGUAACUCUUGGCCUAUUAAUGACCCAUGGUGAAACUGGCCUGCAAUGAACAGUGUAUCACUUUAGACCCAUUAACGGCCCAUGGUGAAACUGGCCCGUAAUGAACAGUGUAUCACUUUAUACCCAUUAAGGGCCCGUUAUUCAGUUGGGCCGUUUCCAGCCCAUGUUAUCUUUCGGCCUUCUCAGAUCCCAUUUAUUAUUGGGCUCAUUUCGAGCAUUCGUUUACUUACGGCCUGUUAGUGUCAUUUUCUGCUUGUGGGCCAAAUUCAGCCCGUGGUUAUAGUCGGCCCGUUUGUGGUCCGUUAAUACAUUGGGCCGUUUUCAUAGCGUCAUCAAAUACAGCCUAUUAACGAUGGCCCGUCAUGGUCAGCCCAUGAACGGACGAUUCCAACUCUAGCCCAUUUACGGCCAUAAUACGGCCUGUUAUGGGCCCAUGUUUGGCCAAUCGAUCAUACGGCCCGUAUAAGGCCCAUUGAUGGUACGGCCCGUAGAAGGCCCAUUGUUUCUACGGCCCGUAGAACGCCGAAUGUUUCUACGGCCCGUAGAAGGCCUACUGUUUCUACGGCCCGUAGAAGGCCCACUGUUUCUACGGCCCGUAGGAGAACCAGUGUCACUACAGUAAAUAUUAGCCCAUGGUUAUUGUGGCCUAGUUUUAAAAAAUAGGUUAUUGCAGCCACUAGCAAACCGCGGAAAAAGAACUGCACUGACUACAAGCAAACAAAUAAACAAGACAACAAGGAAAUAAAUAAGCAAGCAACUUAUGCUAGGCUAUCACGGCUAUUACACAUAUUACAUCCACUGGGCAUCAAAGUUCAUCACCAGUGCAAAUAUAGGGAACACAUCAGCAUAUAAACGCCGCAGCAAAACAAGUCCAAAACUGAAACCACUUCAGAAGAGUUCAAGAAAAAAUAUCCUGGGUACCCAUAAUGCUGGCAAGAUGCUUAACAAGCUUAUUAACUUUCUCUUGUUUGGCGCUUAAAUCCUCCAGCGCUUGCUGUUGCACAAGAAAGUACGCAUCUGAAUUCAGCAGGGACUUCCUCAGUCCUUCGGCUUCUUGCCGCAACACAGCUGACUGAUGCCUUUCAGCUUGUAGCUGAGACUGAAGAAGCCGAAGUGAUUCAGGCAGCGAGUUCGAAGAGCUUGUGCCAGCGGUACUGGCCAGUAACUCGAACACUAGACCAACGCAGGACUGUGGGGUUUUCUCACUGUUUACAAGAUCGUUUUUAUCACCUUUCUUGGAGACCAACAGGGUUGUCUCACUAUCUUGAACCUUAUCUGCAUUACUUUCUCUACCAUUGCAUAGUGGGGUGCUUUCUCCAAUAUUCUGUUUGCAUACUACAAGAGAAACAAGUAGACACAUCAUAGGUUUAGCUUGUAGUAUACAAAACUCAUUUUGGUAAACCGGUUCAGUAGUAAGGUGGACAAGAUAACAACAUGAAACAAACAUAUAUCUAUGUACUAUGGUCACUGUAUUGUCCAUAUCAUUCUAGUUUAUGUUCCCUAAUCAAGAUAGAGACACAGUUCAACUCAUAUAUUUUUAAGACACAACAUCAUAGACAGAAUAUAAGUGUGAGAAACUACACAUCAUUGGCAGCACUUGUAGUGUGCAUCACAUGAGAACAUAAUUGUUUAUACAACUUAAACAGAAAUCAACAUAGAGCAAGAAUUUAGAACAUCAAUCCAGUUAAAGAAAUAGGUUGAAAACAUACCUGUUGCGCCAUUGGAGUUUGAAUUGGAUCCUUCAAAUUCGAAAGUAGUUGGUAUGAGUAAAUACAGUGAUGCAACAGCAAAGGAGUAUGGACCAUAGCUACGGAAUCUGACCUGAGAACAAUUGCUCUUCUGCUUUAAACUUGGAGUUUGGGUUAGCUGUGGUGGUAUUCAUGCUUUGGGCACUGCAGUAGCUUUAUAAACUGCUCGUGUGGGGGUACUCUGUGGUGGACAUGGUGCUUUGUCAACUAUAAGUGGGUUACUAUCCGCUGGGGUUGCGGUUAGAUGGGUUGUAGCUGGUUCUCUGCCCAACGGUGUAAGUGUGCAAUCUGGAAGAGUCUCGAUUAUGUGUGGUGGGGCUAGUUUGUGGGCCAGUACAACCAUGGUUCUAUCUGCAUCAACGGGUAGCAUUGUCUUUUCUGAAGAUCGGGUUUUUGCUCCCUUAGAUACUGCCAUCAACCCCUCCAAUUCAAAUGUCUGAUAAACAAGAAAAGAAAUUGAAAGUACAUACAUUGUAUGAUAGACAGAUGUGGUAGUUCACAUAUAUGUUGUCUAACCAAAUAGGACAUCAUGACACAAUUUCACAUAUAUGAUGCCUAACUAAACAGGAUAGCAUGACACAGUUUCAGAUAUAUGAUGGAUAACUUAACAGGAUAUAAUGGCAUAAUUCAACAUAUGAUGAGUACCUAAACAGGAUGCCAUGACAAAACUAUAUGAUGUCUUUCUAAAAUAGGUUGGGAUGAAACAAUUCACAUACAUGUUGUCUAAGUAUACAAGAUGGCAUGAUAUAAUUGACAUAAUUGAUUCAUAUACUAAGCAGCUGGCACUCGCAUGUAUGAUCUCUAAACUAAGCAGAUAGAAUUCAAUAUUGUGCAUAUGAUGUCUAAACUAAGCAAUGCAAGACACCAUAUGCAUCAUAUGAGAAAUAUAACAUUGCAACUUAGAGCAUACACCUCAGGUGGGAUAUAGGACUGGUCAUCUCUCUCUGAAUCCUCCUCUAAGGAGCUCCCUGUAACCAUCGAGAUAUAUGCUUCAAUAUGUACCAUUGCCUGCUCUGAAGACCUUGUUUUCACUCUAGAUUUUUCCAUAACCGGCUCAAAUGGCUGAUACACAUGAAGAGUAGUUCAAUAUACACAGAUUGUCGACAAAUGGAAUACGUAAUGAAAAAAAAUAUGGCAUGAGAUAAUUCACAUAUAUGAUGCCUGGCUCCAUGGCGGUGCAUAAUUCACAUAUAUGAUAACUGGCUGAAAAACAUGGCAUUGCAUAAUUCACAUAUCUGAUAUAGAAAGCAAACAGGAGGCAUUCACACAAAGCAUGUCUAAUCUAAGCAGAUGGCAUGGCAAUGCAAGACACCAUAUGCAUGAUAUGAGCAAUAUAACCCAGCCAAGUUAGAGCAUGCACCUCGGGGGGGGGGGAUACGACUGGUCAUCUCUCUCUGAAUCCUCCUCUGAGAAGCUAUCUGUAACCAGCAAGAAAUCUGCAUCGACAGGUAGCACUGACUGCUCAGAAGACCUUGUUUUCUCUCCAGAUUUUCCCAUAACUGACUCAAAUGGCUGAUGCACAGGAAGAGUAGAUGAAUGUAUAAACAUUGUUGACAAAUGGAAUACAUUAUGGAAAAAAAUAUGGCACGAUACAAUUCACAUAUACAAUGACUGGCUAAACAGGAUGGCAUUGCAUGAUUCACGUAUAUGAUGCCUGGCUAAAGAAGAUAGCAUUGCAUAAUUCCCAUAUACUCCCUCCGUUCCUAAAUAUUUGUUUUUUAGAGAUUUCAAAUGGACUACCACAUAUGGGUGUAUAUAGACAUAUUUUAGAGUGUAGAUUCACUCAUUUUAUUCCGUAUGUAGUCACUUGUUGAAAUCUCUAAAAAGACAAAUAUUUAGGAAUGGUGGGAGUAUGAUAUAGAAACCAAACAGGUGGCAUUCACACAAAGCAAAUCUAAACUAAGCUGAUGACAUAUAAGAUGUAUAAUAUAAGCAAUGCACGGCGCCAUAUGCAUGAUAUGACCAACAUCAGCAUGCCAGGUUAGACCGAACACCUCAGGUGGUAAACAGGCAUGGUCGACUCCUUCUGAAUCUCCAUCUGAACAGUUAUCUUCCUCUGGAAUACAAUCUGGAAAUGCAGGAGAGGGGGGGCACUUCGCCCACCAUGGAGCAGCGUCUGCAUGACAUUAUAUUCGCACACAACGGUCUUCUCUUUUUCUCUACAUGUUCAGUACGAUUGUGUACAAUAUCUGACAUGCAUAAUAAAAAAUAGUUAGAUUUUGUAAGGCCUAAGGGGUGCAUGCAAAAAUCAAGACUGAUGGUAGCAAACGAGUGGAUGGAUCCAAAACUAAUGAUAGCAGGUAGAGUAUAGCUUCAGUUUAAAAAGAUAGACAAUGGAUCAUCUCUUGUUUGUUGCCCACCCAACAUGAACCACAUAGAAGACCCCAGAUAGUAGACAGAUACUAUUCGUUGCUGGCUCGAUAUGAGACCCAUGGGCAAUUCAAAACUUAAGAUUGAACAAUAAAGUAGCAGGUAAUAAUAACCGAUGUAUAACGUAAACAAACACGAAAGACUGCGACCUCUCUUCCAGAACUGUGUAGUCCUCAGGUUCAUCUUCUCAGUCGAUGAUCGUAAUGCAGUUGGCGUGGCUGCCGGCAACGGGGAAGAUGAUCUGAGGCGGUGAAAGAAAGUCUGCAGGGGGGAUCUCUGCUGCAGUGAACGCUUCUGUCGAUGGUGCACCUCAGGUGGGGUGGAUGACGUCACGGCAAGAGCAGGACAUAGCACACAGAGUUUUCUUUGACGCCAAUCUGAAAAUGAAGUAAAUCUGUAAGGGCUCCUUAGAAUUGGAGGAUUCUAUAAAUGUAGGGACAGGAAAAACACAGGAAUAUGAUAGGAAUGCACGUGCAAAACAGAGCAUUUGGAAACAUAGGAUUUCAGUCAACCUGGGUGUUUGGCUCACAUGAAUUGGAAGAAUAGAGGAACGGAGAAACAAAGUGAUGCGACGAGUGUACAACCUCUUUGGCAUAGCCUUGUGGACCUCAGCAUCAUUGGGUUGGACGUGGAGGAUGUGAUGAUGCUGGUGUGACUGUCAGAGGCGGGGAAGAAGAUCCGAGGCCUCUGGAAACAACGCCGAGGGUACUGCUCCGCUGUGAUGGAUGGUUCCGUUGUUGGAGCAGCUCCGCUAAGGUGUACGGCGGUGAGGCUGAAGCAUGACAAGACAGACAACUUUAAUCUGAAGUGGGACCCUAAUAUCAUCUGCAAUAGAUGAUGUAAAAUACAUCACCAAAAAGUGCUAGAUGUAAAACGCAUCAGCCGCGCCACGGCCACUCGGACAAAUGCUGUAAGUACUGUUCACUCUGAACUUAACUGAAGAAAAUGAACUUCACAGUCGAAACUGAAUUUUACCGUCGAAACUGAUUGAGCUAGUAAUAGAGCAUUGCAAUGGAUGUUUAGGGCGUUCGAGCACUAGUAGCAGAGAAGCAGUGAUCUAAAUCAGCAGACGCUCGAGCUGGGAACGCACUAGUAGAGAGCAAGUCGUGCAGUAGCACCGCGAGCGAGUGCUAAAGCAGCAAGUUCUGUAGCUGCCGGAGGUCGUGCAGCAGCAGCAGCAGCGCAAGAGAGAGCAAGAGAAGAGCAACAGCAUGAACGAAAGCUGGAGCAGUGCAGCAGCGCGACCGACAUCAAGAACAGAGCCGCAGUGCGAGCGAGAGCCGGAGCAGCUGCAGCUAGUGCCGUUGUGGAAGUCACCGCCGAGGAAGCAAGGACAUGGGAGAGAGACGCCGUGGAUGAUGUGGCUGGCGACGGUGCCAUUAAUGGAGACGCCAUGUCUGCUCGGUAUCGAGCACCGACAGCCCCAUGAGAUCGAAUAAAAGAUAAAAUGCAGCAGUGAGUGCAGAACCUCCACCGAGUUGGCCUCGCCUUCAUCGGAGGAAUUGGUGAGGGUGCUGCGGUUCCGGUGGGUCAGGUCAAGACGGCUAUGGGGAUUGAGGUGGCACGAUAGAUGAGGCGAACAUCGGGGCAGCUCCUUGGAGGUGGAGGACGGGGCGGCUGAUCCAGCGGGGCGACGAGAUCGACAAUGGAUCCUCAUCCGGUGCGGUGGAUGAGGGACGGCGAGCUGUUGCGGUGGACGACGUAGUCGGGGAAGAGUCUCCGGCUGGGCGGCGGUUGGGAGGCCGACGGAGGAGCCUGGGGUUUCGCGGGUUUUGGCGGCCUCGGUGUUCGAAUGGGGGGGGGGGCGAAGGGGGAGGGGGAGCCAAGCUUAGGGACGCGCUUGUCCGAAAUAUAGGGUAAGUUACCAGCAUACCCCCACCGGUUUUGACACCGCGAAUUGGAGCUUCAUUUUUGGCUAAGGGGUAGAAGGGGGAUUUCACGUGUCUGGGCCGCGGGAGCGAUUUCGUAUGAGGAGGGAGUUCUCGCACGCGUCCAAAUUUUGGGAUAACAAGGCACGACGCGGGUUGAAGAAGCAGGAGUUUCAAAGCCGGUGAGACAAAAGAUACUCGAGCUUGAAAAUUUCGGGAUAACAAGGUGCGGAUUCCUUGUUCGGCAGAACAAACUUAACGUGUAAAAAAAAUCAUACAAGACACAAGAGAGUCAUGUCCCCUUAUACUAUAUUGCUAUAGAUGCCAUUGAAAAACUACAAGAAAAAUGUAAAAAAAAUCAGGAGAACAAGAUUACCCUGCACAGUACCAAAUCGAUUCGCACUUCCCUCAACAACAACAAAAAACAAAUCAAUUCCCACCAAAGAAAGAGUAAUGUCCCUUUUUAUAUGAUUACAGAUGCCAUGAUCUUGAAUUUCAAUUUUUGAAUCCACGUUAUGUUGAAUUCGAAUAUAUCAUUAGGUGACCUUGCGGUUUAUAAUUGAUGUAGUUGUACAUUUUGAUCUUCCAUCAUAUAUGAACAUUUUACUCCACCAUGUGAACAUAUAUAUCAUCGUCUACCACAUGGACUAAAUUUGAAUCAAUUUUCCUUAUUUGAAUACGAUUGUUGUCAAGUUAUACAAUAAUUUAAAUAUUAUCUUGAUAACAAAAAGACAUGCAUAUAGCAGUAAUCAUAUUUCACUAUGAACUACAUGUACAAUAUGCUCUCCAAUUCAAAUAUCUGUAUCCAUUUUAUGUUGAAUUCAAAUCAUUGUACAUUAUUGGUCUAGGUAGCGAGAUGUUCGGGAUAAUCUAAACCCUAUUUUCAUACGUAUAAUUUUGGCUGAAUUGGGACAAGUUUUGGUAUAAGCCUCUUGCAAAACCGGAGAUUCUCUCAACAAUCCUCGUGGUUCCGAGAGGGGACGUGUCACCUUUAUGUGCGAAACGAUAUACGCUGCCUCCCCCCUGACUUUAUUUACAGAGGCAACAUAGAACUAUAUGAGUGCCCUGUUAAAUUUUGGAAUUAUUUUGGGUUCAUUUGGCCUUUUUAUACAUUAAUUGAGUUUUUGGACUUUUAAUGUGCAUAAUCUAAAUAUGAAUUGCAUGCACAUGCUCCGGUGCACCAAAGUGGGUUGAAAAAUCACAUGUGUGUCCUUGGUUGAAUUUCUAGGUCCCAUGGAAGAAAUGAGAAUGAAGUUCAAACAUCUGGGCGUCAUGACUCUGCCGAGAACAUUGAGGAACUUAGAUUUUAAAUUUAUUUAAAUCCAAAACUCGGCUGGAAAUCAUGAAACUUGGCAUGGUGUCAUGUCAUGGCACUAACAUGUUGUGGUAAAAAAUUGGGCCGAUUUGGAAGCUCGUGGUUCUAAGAGGGAAUGNNNNNNNNNNNNNNNNNNNNNNNNNNNNNNNNNNNNNNNNNNNNNNNNNNNNNNNNNNNNNNNNNNNNNNNNNNNNNNNNNNNNNNNNNNNNNNNNNNNNNNNNNNNNNNNNNNNNNNNNNNNNNNNNNNNNNNNNNNNUUAACAAAGGCAACAUAGAACUACAUUAGUGCCAUGUUAAAUUUUGGAAUUAUUCCGUGUUCAUUUGUUGUUUUUAUACAUUAAUUGAGUUUCUAGUCAUUUAAUGUGCAUAAGUCAAAUUUGAACUACAAGCACAUGCUCUCGUGCACCAAAGUUGGUUGAAAAAUCACAUUUGUGUCCUCGAGUGAAUUUCUAGGUCCCAUGCAAGAAAUCAGAAUAAAAUUAAAACAUCUGGACAUCGUGGCUCGACCGAGAACAUUGAGAAACUUGGUUUUAAAAUUCUUGUAAAUCCAAAACACGUCUGAAAAUCAUAAACUUGGCAUGGAUGUCAUGUCAUGGUACUACCAUGUUGUGGUAAAAAAAUGGCUGAAUAGGAACAGAUUUUGGUAUAAGCUUCUUGCAAACCGAAGCUUCUCUCAAGAAGGCUCGUGGUUCUGAGAGGGAACGUGUCACCUUUGAGUGCGAAACGAUAUACGUUGUCCCCCUUGAGUUUAUUUACAAAGGCAACAUAGAACUACAUGAGUGCCUUGUUAAAUGUUGGAAUUAUUCCGGCUUCGUUUGGCCUUAUUUACACAUUAAUUGAGUUUUUGGUCAUUUAAUGUGCAUAAUUCAAAUUUGAACUACAAGCACGUGCUCUCGUGCACCAAAGUUGGUUAAAAAAUCACAUUUGUGUCCUCGGGUGAAUUUAUACUCCCAUGCAAAAAAUGAGAAUAAGAUUCAAACAUCUGGGCAUCGUGGCUCGGUCGAGAACAUUGAGAAACUUGGUUUUAAAAUCAUGAAACUUGGCAUGGUGUCAUGUCAUGGUAGUACCAUGCCAUGGUAAAAAAAUUGGCCGAAUAGGAACAAAUUUUGGUAUAAGCAUCUUGCAAAUCGGAGCUUCUCUCAAGAAGGCUCGUGGUUCUGGGAGGGAACGUACGUGUCACCUUUGUGUGCAUAAUUCAAAUUUGAAAUACAAGCACAUGUUCCAGUGCACCAAAGUUGGUUGAAAAAUCACAUGUGUGUCCUCGGGUAAAUUUCUAGGUUCCAUGCAAGAAAUGGGAAUGAAAUUCAAAAUUCUGGGCGUCGUGGCUGGGUUGGAAACAUUGAGAAACUUAGUUUUUUAAUUCUUGUAAAUUCAAAACACGCAUGAAAAUAAUGAAACUUGACUUGGUGCCAUGACAUGGCACCAACAUGCUGUGGUAAAUUUGCAGUCCGAUUUGCGAAGGCGCACACAUUAACAAUCAACAAAGUCAUUUUGGAACAAGUGUUGUCACGUUACAAUCGGAAACACAAGUAUUAUUGAAAUCGUGGGCGUUCUAGUUACUAGUACCAUUUACGUGCUGCCACGCGUCCCCAUUUUUUAUUAGCUAGGAGGCGCCGUGCAGGGUAGCUAUUUGAGUACGAGAGGCGUGCGAUCAGACCCCUGCGCGUGCUUAUCGGGAGGAGAGUCCUUUGACCUCCAUCUGCCGUCCACCUCUCUCCCAAGGUCUCCAUUAAUGGCACCCGAGCCUCUAUUUAAUGGCGUGGCUAUGUCUCACUCGACUGAGAUUUAAGAGAGAGAAAAGAAAAUCUGAAAGCACGGAUCUUGAUGUAAGAUCCGACGGACCUAUAUAGCAUCUACUGCGACUUAUAGCAAGACUGAUGAAUAUAUAAGGAUGAUUUUUUUAUCAAAGAAGGGCUUGCCCCUUCCGAUUUUCAUUACUGAAAACCACCACAAUUCACAAGAAGUUCAGCACAACUCCAUCCUAACACGAAGGACUAAAAGCUACUCCCCCCGUCCCAUAAUAUAAGACGGUUUUUGACACUAGUGUAGUGUCAAAAAACGUCUUACAUUAUGAGACAGAGGGAGUACCAGAUUGAAAUCGCAACAUCCCAAGAGGCCAACAAAGGCCAAACAUCCGCGCUAGAACCCAACAUUUCACAACCGACGACACAAUCCACAUCCUAAACCGAUUAUUACAUCAAAAGAACACAGGAAACUGAAGGAAGCCCAGCAGCAACUAGAAGAACAACAACGCCAGGGUCGCCACAGCAAGAGUUUUCUUCAUUCCAGCCUCACAACAUUGAUCUUCCACAGAAAGAUAAGGACGAUUAAUUGUCUUACAUAAUUAGAAAGAUAAUUAAAAAAGCCACAUGCGGCUACGCCCGAAAUACACAAGGGCAAAAGAAGAAGGAAGACAAGGAUCUGGCUCACUGAUCUCUACUUUCUUGAUGCGUUGUUGCAGGCCGCGGGAACUAGUCUCCGCGGCGAGAGCUCUUUCAUGUCCUCAAGACGCUGCUUGAGAACAUCCAUGGAUUCCUCCACCAGCCUUUGGCACUCGUUGUGGAGCAUGUCAUUCUCGUCCAUAAGUUUCUUGACGAUGACGCUGGUCCUCUUCAACAAGGCAUUGGUCUCCUCCUGCUGGUCUGCACUUCGGAUGAUCUUCUCCCUCAGCAGGUCGCGCUCGGCCCGAAGCCUCUCAUUGCCCUCCCUUAGUUGCUGGAUGACGCUGGUAGACUGUUCGAACGAGGCUUUCACAUCGUCCUACAACCUCGCCAAGCCGGAGAUCUGAUCUAUCUGGCUAUGGACGAUCGCAUGCAUGCGCCUGUAACAGUCGUCGCCUGCCCGCGAGAAAUUUUCCCAGGCUGCCACGGCGCGGCGGGACAUCUCUGCUGCAUUCGUGGCGCGGCGGGACAUCUCUGCUGCUUCCGCGGCACGGCCGGACCAGUCUUCUGCAUCGACGGCACGACGGGACCUCCGUGCUGCUUCAGCGGCGCGGCGGGACCUCUCUGCUACUACUUCCGCGCGGCGGAACAUGUCGGCUGCUCUCGCAGCGAGAAGGGACAUCUCUCGUGCUUCCGCUUCCAUGCUCGCCUCUCCCUGGUGGCAAUCUCUCGACCCAGAACUCACGCUGGCCAUGGCAGACGCAAGGGAAGGAUGCUGAAUGACUUGUUUGUUUUUGUGGAUGAGGAGUUGAGGAGGAAUGUGCAGUCAUCUUGGCAUACUAGUAUUUAUAACCGAGUACUAAUACGCUCCUAAGUGGGAAACCGUUUAGGUUGUGAUUGGUGUGAACAUGUUUGGAAUUCAAUAUAGCGGGAUACUAAUACGCUCCUAAGUGGGAAACCGUUUAGGUUGUGAUCGGUGUGAACAUGCCUGCAAUUCAAUAUAGCGUGGAGUAAUUUGGAAUGUGACGAGACGAAAGCUCAAAAUUUAUUGACGGUUCUAGUUUCGAAGUGCGGCACUACUCCUGGAUGGACUACUUCUUUUUCUACUCCCUCCUUUCUAGUUUUAUAGGGCUUAUCUCAAAAUUUUAGUUUUUCCAUUUUAUAAGGCUCAAUUUGGUUGUUCCCCAACACAUGUUCAGAUUCCAAGGUGCAUUAAUUCAUUGCAUGCAAGUAUUAAGAGAAAAUUGACUAAUGCAUGUACUUUAUGCAUGCAUGCAUUGCAAUUAAUGCAUUGAUAAACAUAAUCUUUUGAGAAAAACAAGAGCAUUAAUUAGGUGCUUUUGCAAACUACAAAAAAUAUUCCACCACUCACCAUAAACUGGAAAGGAGGGAGUACUGCUGUGUAAGUGCAAUAACUGGCACCGCCGUAUACAUAUCUUACGGUUAAUGGGGCGUUCGGCAGGAAUACCCGCGUGGCGAGCUCUAGGCUAGUCCUUUUUUCAGACGCAUUAAACCUAUCUCUCGGGACUUCUCGCACGCACCAUCGUGCCACCCACAAAAACUUGUACUAUCAGUUUAGUAGUACGUUAUAUAGGAAGAGAAGAGGUGCACGCACGCACUCGUCCUCUCACACACGCGUCUAUUUUUUUCUCGAAAAGGAGGAUGAUGAUCCUCGGCCUCUGGAUCUGGGAGUCACACACGCAUCUGUAGCUACGAAUUGUAGUGUUCUCAACCAUCAGAUUGGCUCUAUCAUGGAUGUACCUAUACAGACGCAUCUGGGAGUGCUUGUCAUCAAAAUGGAUAAAAAGGGACGUAUCUAGAACUAAAAUAUGUCUACAUACAUCUCCUUUUAUCCAUUUUGAUGACAAGUAGUACUUCUUACCCAAAGGAACUUUAUAUCCAACAGACACAAAAGAUCCGUUCGACUAUUGGAAAUUACUGAUCUGAUGUCGAAGUAAUUGCUGCAUCGCCACCAAAACCCACCAUUUCUUAAGCUAAAGUAGACCAAGGUAAUCCCUAUAUUAGCAUAUUACUAAGAUAAACAGAAGGCACUGUCGAAACAUGUAGGACGUGAGCUUGUCAAUCUGAAUGUGGAGGCACACAAGCUUAGCCCCGGCCAGCAGCUUGGGCAGAACUGUCAAGAAGGUCAGCUCCUGCAUGUCGACGUCGCCGGGAUCCUUGCUGCUUGUCACCUCAAUUUCCACCUCGACGGCAUCGGUCGUGCCUUUGGGCUCCCCCGACGGGCCGUUCGCCCACAGCUUGGCCCAAUAGUGCGGUAGUGGGGACACCCCCAUUCUGAUGCAGACGACCGACACGGCGAUAGGCGCGCCGAUGUCGAGCACGCCGCCGACCAAGAAAAACGUGUGAUGGUCCUCCUUCGCGAACAACAAGAGCCGUGGUUCCGACAGUGGCACUUGCAGUUGGAGCACCUUGUCGUACUAGAUCCUGUGCACGGGCAUGGGAUGCGUGUUGCUGAUGUGGUGGUAGAGCGCCGGCGGCGGGCCUUCGUAGCCGCAGACGGGCACGGGGCAUUUGUAGGGCGCGAGCGGACACACGCUCUGGUGAUCGGCGAGCUUGUGGUAAGUGACGUAGAGCCCACAACCUUCGUGCGGGCACUCCACCCUCAGCGAUGAAACGAUGGCGUCCACCGCCGUGUUCCGUACGUCGAAGCCACCCCCGCACUCGCACUUCUGGGACUACCGCUGGUUCCCGGGACGCUCGACGCAGCAGUCCGUGCAGGCCAAGUGCCCUCGAUUGCACUGCAGAAAUCAAUCGAACAACACAUCAAUCAAGAAACCUGCACCUUGCUCAAUCAGCCAAAUGGACGAGGUGUAUUCGAACCUCAUUCACUGGAGGCAUCAAGGGGCGGAGGCACAAGGGGCAGUGGAGCACGGUGAGGUCCAUCGAGACCUUAGUGAGCUCCCUCGUCGGUUCCUGUUCCGUCUGCAUGAUCUCACCCUCCUCGUGCACAACCAUCUCUCGCUUGGGCCGGGGCAUUACAAAGCUUUACCGUCACAUAUUUUAUACUCUGCGCAUAACUGUCCUCUCGCAUACCAAGGAAGGCAGUAGUUUGAGUUUUCUGGACAAAUUUGCCCCUAUGCAUGAGAAAGCUACAUAAAUAUCGACAGUAAAUGCGCAUGCAAUGGUUGGCCGGUCCUCCUUCCUUUUCACUUGAGUUGGCUUCCCCAGGCGGUCAAGCCGCAUCCGGCGCUGCACGCGUUUGCCUGUAGCCAUUUUCUAAUUUGGAAACUGGCGCGAUUAAUGGGGGCAGAACUAAUCAAGCGGGGGCACAGAUGGAAACCAACGCGGACGCGCAGACUAAUCUGAGAAAAACAAGAAAAAGUUAUACGCAAAGUAAAAGGAAUCGGAGGGAGUACUACUUCAAGGUGCAUUAAAUCAACACAUGCAAGUAUCAAAAGGAGAGUCACGUCAUGCAUGCAUGUGUUGUAAUUAAUGCAUCGGUAACCCUAAAUUAUUGAAAUAUAUCGAGUGCAGUGCUUUGAUGUGUCGUGUCAACUCGUACAUCAAUGAGAAGUUUGAUUAUCCUCUCCCUCGCGGACUUAACUGCACCUGCCUUUGGCUGUAUGAUAGGUUGGCCACACACCUGUCAGGCCCACCUGUCAUACACGCAAAGACAGGAGCGUCCCUCCCUCGCCCAUGAGCGUGGUGGCUGGCAAGACUAGGAGAAGCUUUCGCUACACGCUCUCCCUCCCGCACGCGGUGGACAUGCAGUCGUUCAAUCGGUGUCAGAUGGCCAGAAGCGUACUAUAGUACUCCUCCAGUGCAGUAGUACAUCAUCAUUGUUCGACUUCCCGAAGAGGCGAAGAGCCAAGCGCAGCACGGAUGCUCGUGUGGCAGUUUCAUGUGUAGAGUAGUCUAGAUAGCGUCUACCGUGCAUGUAAACUUAAAAUCGCUGGGGUCGGCUCCAUGCUAUGUGGCCGUCUUGAAGUUUUUUUUUAAAUUAAAAUAGUCUUCUGGCCCUACCUGUCACCCUGGUGAUUGUAGUUUGCAUGCUCAUCUGGUCAAGACAGGAAUAUAUAUUUUAAUUUGUUUUUUUGAAAAGGGCGGACACCCCGGCCUCUGCAUCAGAACAAUGCAUACAGCCACAUAUAUUUUAAUUUGUGGUGGAUAAAUGUUAGAGGUUGCAGCAAAUAUAUUGUACACUGCGGGUCUUUCAGCCAAGUUUAGAGGCAAGCAUGUGGGCCAGUGCUAUGAUGUGUCGCGUCAACUCGUAGAACGAGGAGAAGCUUGAUUUUACUACACACCUUCUCCCUCGCCCAUGCGCGCUGUUGCUCGCAAAUGAGGACAGACUUUUGCUUAGUAGUACUUCUAAAACAAGCUAUCCGUCCCGCUCGCGGUGGACGGACAUGCAGCAGUGGAUUCGACACUGUAGAAGCAGUAGUAGUAACAUCAUUGUUCGUCUUCUCGAAGAGGCGAAGACCCAAGCGCAAACCGAACGUUGCAGUUGCGAACAUUGGAGCACGCAUAUAGCCAGGCUCUUGCAUGAGACAAAAUUGCUAUGUGAGCCCACUAUUGUACUAGUACAUACAACUACUUGCUAGUAUAGCCCUAUAAACCAGAAAGGAGUAUUUGCCCUUCUAGAGAUUUCAACAAGUGACUAGACUACACCGAGACAGAGUACAUAUGGAGCAAAAUGAGUGAAUCUGCACCGUAAAUAAAUACGUACUAGUUCUAUCGUUUUCCUCUCCGAGGUGCACAAUAUUGAGUAUACUGACUAGUCUCUUUUUGACACGCAUUUACGUUGUUUUUUUUUGACACAGUACAGACGCAAGUGCUCAUAUACACGCGCAUACACUCAUCCCCAUGAACGCACACACGCACAGCACUAUCAUCUUGAAAUUUACGAAGUCACCAUAGGCACCUCGUCGUCGACGGGUCCAUAGGUGCCUGAAUGCCAAGGAGGAAGAGGGUAGCGGUUCCCGAGACGUUGAACAGUCAAUGAUGCAUCCUCAAUUACAUGCAGAGGGAAUUAAUUGGAGAAGCAGACUAGAGCCAGCAUGAUGUGAAUGCAAUAGAGUUUGGACUCUCAUAUAAUAAAGGCGCCCCAGCACUCCAAUCCAUCUACUCCCAAGUCUCUGCGCAACACUACUCACUCCAAUCCAAGACCAAGUGACCAGAAGCCACAAGCACCUAUGGAGGCGAUGGACGCGAGCGGCAGUCGGUUGUGCUAAAUCAUCCAAGGUGCCAGCCUGCAGCCCCGCACCAUGCAGCAUUUCUAGACGGUGCUGGCGACUGCAGGCAUCGUAGCCCUCGCCGACGCUGGCUUUGCCUUUCGCAUGGACGACAUGAUGGUCAACUCCAUCCGCAAGUUCACCGCUAUCAAGAAGCGCGCGGACGACCUUGCCGUACUGCUCCAGCCUGCGUGCCCAGGCUCCUCAUUGCCUGCCACCCUCAUCGGCCUACAUGGUGACGAACUCUUUCAAGCCCUGGUGGCCCUGCAGGUGCCGGAGGUCGCGACGAAGAAUGUGCACCUCGAGGCCUCGCUCGCCGCGCAACGCCUUGCCAUGCAGGAAACCGUCGACCUGCACAUCCACGUCUACGAGGAAAUCGUCUACAUAGGCCACUACAAGGCAAGCGAGGACAGAAAGACGUUGGCCUUCUUCCAGCGGCUGUAAUCUUUGGACACCAUUGUUCAGAAGCACGUCGACCUGGCCAAGAAAGCCGCUGCUACUUAGGCAUCGUUCGGUGGGUCGGCGCCCUGAGUCGAGGAGGUGGACAUCAUCGAUGGAUGCAUCUCUUCUUCUUGCUUCCUGUAACCAGCACUGCAUCGCCUCGUGGCCUUAAUGUUUUAUUAGUAUAGUACUCCCUCCGAUCCCAAAUAUAAGUCUUUCUAAAGAUUCCAGCAAGUGACUACUACAUACGGAGCAAAAUGAGUGAAUCUAAGCUCUAAACUAUGUCUUCAUACAUCUGUAUGAUAUAUUCCAUUUGAACUAGUAUCUAAAAAGGCUUAUAUUUAUGAACGGAGGGUGUAUACGGCAUUUUUUAUUCCAGUCAUAACGUUUUCACUAUGAGGAGGGGCCGCAGUUGAGCAAACCCACCCCACCCACCGGGCGUCGGCCAAGUUUAGAAUUAGAAGAGAGAAACGAGGGAGGAGAGCUAGCUGUAGCACGGACGCUGUUGUCAGAUGGGACUCGUGUUUAUAGAAUAGGAGUACUGAGCACUCGUGCCUCUCUUUUUUGAGGGAAAAAUUAAUCGUAUGUCUAGUACCACUAGUUGGUGCGUGCGACCUAUAGCUGUCAUCACUUUAGGUCUCCUUUUCGAACUGUGGCUAUGCUUCACAGUACAUAUUUUUUCACGCAUUUAUCCUCCUAUAUGUACUCCGAGGCUAUUUCCACAUGCUCCCAUUUGCCGACAUGUGGGACAUAGAGCAUCUGGGUCAUAGUGCAUGCACGACUCGGAGCAUAUGCCGGGGUACUUUACAUUUCAGACCUCACGAAUUACAUGCAAACCCCUCGCAGAAGAAUAAAUAAAUCAAUGAAUUACUACAUGAAACCAGAUUAUUUUCGUGGAAACCGGAGCACGUUCAUUAAAUUUUGGACAUAACACGUUUAUAAAAAAUGACCAGACCUAAACCAAUCUAAGGGCCUCUUUGAUUUUUCUCAAAAAAGGGCCUCGUUGAUUCGCAGGAUACUGAAAACACGGGAAUGGGGAAAGUAUGAUGGCGAUGAACCGAGACGAGGAGAACUCUAACUCAGUUAGAGAUUAGAGUUAGAUUCUAACCCUGAACUAACUCUAAACCAAAGAGGUGUAUGGAUGGCAGGGUUAGAUUGACAAUAAAUGCUCUAUCUCAAUCAUUUGACUACUUUGGACCCUAUUUUUAGUCAGACUAAAAUAAGUCCCUUGGAUCCAAGCACCCUCUUGGUGUGGCCGGCUCAUCUGUGGCCUCCUCCCGCUCACAAUUGACAUAAAUGAACCAUCUAUACAAAUCAAGCAUGCAAAACAUGAUGAUUUUUACUUUGUCCAUACAAAUGAGAUAUCCCACUUAAACAUACAAGUCGUCAAUCAAGCUUCACAAAAUAAAAAAACACUUCAUGAAACAAAGAAUGAGCUAACUCAUCACGGAAGUCGUUCACGAUAGGGAGGGAGCCCGGAGCCCCUCACGCACCGAGGGAGGAGCUCGCCAUCGUCGCUCUGGAGGAAGGCUCUGUAGAGCCCAAGCCUCGGGAACCCCUCUGACGCCGGCCCUUGCUAGUUGAGGUCGACUCCAGCAUGGGUAGUAGGGCCGCUUGCCGUCGACUUGGAACUUAAUCUUUGGGCAUCUAGAAAUAAUGCAAGCUUGUAACUAAAAUACCUAGAAAGGUGAACUGAAUCUUUGGGCCUCUAGAAAUAAUGCAAGCCUGAAACUGAAAUACCUAGAAAGGUGAACUGUAUCUUUGGGCCUCUAGAAAUAAUGCAAGUGUGAAACUUAAAUACCUAGAAAGGUGAACUGAAUCUUUGGGCCUCUAGAAAUAAUGCAAGCCUAAAACUGAAAUACCUAGAAAGGUGAACUGAAUCUUUGGGCCUCUAAAAAUAAUGCAACCCUGAAACUAAAAUACCUAGAAAGGUGAACUGAAUCUUUGGGCCUCUAGAAAUAAUGCAAGCCUGAAACUCAAAUACCUAGAAAGGUGAACUGAAUCUUUGGGCCUCUAGAAACAAUGCAAGCCUAAAAUUGAAAUACCUAGAAAGGUGAACUGAAUCUUUGGGCCUCUACAAAUAAUGCAAGCCUGAAAUUGAAAUACCUAGAAAGGUGACCUGAAUCUUUGGGCCUAUAGAAAGAUUUAUUACCUCCUUAAGCAGCAUCAAACAAUUCCAUGCAUGCACCGCAAAUCUAUAGCAAGUUUGAUCAGGAUCUACUUUUCCAAAUCAGAAUUCACGCUAGAGCAAGCAAGAUCAAUGAUACGGCCGUGAGACAGAGAAGGAGGGAACAAACUCACCCCUCUCGCGACCUCCCUGGUAGAUGCGCUGCCGCCGCGCAUGACAGAGGGAGAAAAACGACUGGUGAAGGGGGAGCGGGGCGACCUUCGAAGGUCGGAGGGAGAGGGCGGCCGGAGUAGGGCGGCGGAGGCCGAAAGGAGAGGGCGGCCGGAGGAGAGAGAGGGCUUGCGGCGCUUGGGCGGCCCUAUGGGGAAUAGAGAGGAGUCAUGCGAGAGGGGGGGAGCGAUCUGGUGCGGGCAGGUGAGAUUUUUUUAUGGGAGCGAUCUGGUAUGGGCAGGUGAGAUUUUUUUAGUUCUCUUUUAGUGGGCCUGAGGAUAACUAACCCAAUUAGAACCUCUCCACCGGGCUAGUUUUUUUAGCUGGGUUAGAGCAAACUAGCUCAAACUAACCCCUCUUGUUUUGAUAAUUUGAGGCUAUUUCAACCCAAACUAGCUCUAACUCAGGGAUCCAAACAAAGAGGAGUGUUACUGUACAUGCUACAGUGUGGACCGUAGCACAUUGUUUUUUAUGGCCAUGUCACCACAUUGUUUUCUACUGCUGGUUCACUGGGCUACCGUGGUUCGCACGGCUGGUUCACUGGGCUGUCGUGGUUCGCACUCCUCCGACCUGAGUAGUAUAGUAUAGUACUAGUAUAUACCGCAUCGUUCUUUGCUCCUUCUUACUACUCCGACAUGUGGGAGAGCCAGCAUCCGGGUCGACGUGUCAUGCACCAGAUUAGAGCGCGGAACAGAAGGGGGGCAUCACCCCGGUCGGAGCACCAGUAAUUCAUGACUAUAGUGAGUGGUCAUAUCACAAGUCUUUCCAGCAAUAACGCGCCGUCAAAUCGCACAGCCCCACUCGCUCACCCUCCUCGCCUCUCUGUCAAACCUUCUACCCGAAAACUGCCGCGCGUACUGCCCGGGAAAAGCCCCGCCCUCAACUUUUAACUACGCGAAAAUAGUUCGAGCUUGUUCGUUCUAUAUAAAUACAAUACUUACUGUAUGUUUAUUCACCCAUGGGGUUGUUCAAUGAACAGAGGGGCGGGGAGCACAAGUGAACAAUAUUGUAGUAGUAAGUAGGAGUCGUAGAGUAGUCACCUUAAAUAGAGAGUUUCUUUUCUUUAAUGCCACGUACACAAAUUGAAACGCUUGUUGUGGAGAGAAAAAAGAUAAUCACUCCACUAUAUAUGGACGCAGGGGCCUGAGCGCUUGCUUUACUAGGGUUGCUCUCUUCAUUCUCUCAUCCUCUUCAGAUAUAAACAAGACAGCUGGAGCGACAUUUUCUCUCUGCUCACCGCUGGUCACAGAUCCGGCCGAAUCCCUUCGGCCGGUGUGUGUAGAGGACUAAAAGGUGCAUCGUUCACGCGGUCAUCGCCGCCGAGGGAGGAAACCCACAGCUGCCGGAGGGGCCCGAUCCUCUGCCCGUGCCGUUCUGUCCGACACAGCACUGGCUCGGGAGGCCCUCCGACCCUUCUUCCUCCCUGCCAUAUUGUCCGCAGAUCCGACCUGCCGCCGCCGACAUCCCGGUGACCCUCAGGUAUAAGUUCUUCGAAAGCGGCCUUGCUCUACUGCCCCAGCUCCCCACGUGUCUACAUGUGCAUCUUUUUCUACUCUCAUCAGCUCUUCCAAAGCCACCUAAAUUUUUAGUAUUAUUAGAGGUAAAGCUACUUCAUGCAUUCGAAUCUAGGGCUUUGUUCAAAUAACAAAGAAAGGGGGGAAAGUUGUAGCAUGAAUCUAGGACUUGAUUCAAAGAGGAAAUAAUAUGGUGAAAGUAGUAGAGAUCGGAUACCCAACCAGUCUCUUGGUUGAAAAGGGAAAUAAUGGGAAAACGUAGUACAAACUGGAUAAGGAACAUAUCUAUUAUUGGUUGAAAAAAGGAUAGAAAGUGGCGGCUGGUGGACAAGUCAACAGAGUAUGUCCAGGAUUCGAUUUGCUACCAUCACAUAGUAAAAGGUCUCCAGGAUUAGAUUUUCUGCCCUCACAUAGUAAAAGGUCGCAUGAUUAGAUUUGCUGCCCUCACAUAGUAAAAGGUCUCAAGAUUAGAUUUGCUACCCUCACAUAGUAAAAGGUCUCAUGAUUAGAUUUGCUGCCCUCACAUAGUAAAAGGUCUCAGGAUUAGAUUUGCUGCCCUCACAUAGUAAAAGGUCUCCAGGAUUAGAUUUGCUGCCCUCACAUAGUAAAAGGUCUCCAGGAUUAGGUUUGCUAACCUCACAUAGCGUGAACAAGCUCGGCAUCACCACUUUAUGCCUCCUUGUAGGUACAUUGUGCUGAUGCAUCCACUGUCGCAUGUCCUUAUACCAACCUUCUGCUGUUGUUAAUGUAAGGCCGCAUGCAAAAUGAAGCGAUCACACCGUUACCUUAGGGACAUGUCUAACCAGUGUUAUUGUUAAUCUAAUGCCUCCAGUGAUAAGAUGCAAUUAAACUGUGUUACAAAUGGCACUCAUGCUGUUUUCCCCAGUAUGAUAAGUAAGUUGCUCCUUUACGCUGCUGACUGUCCUGGUGUCCCCACGGUCCCAUGCCCUUAAACCAACUCUUUAGCUGCUGUUGAUUUACUGUGUCUGGUAAACAAGCAAUGCCACCAUUAAAGUAAUCCCAUAUCUAAGGAAUCUCAUUGUUGAUCGUAAUGCUUCUGGUAACAUGAAGCAUUGCUGAUGUUUUAAAAUUUCUACUGUCCUUGCAUGAUUGCCAUGAACAUAAUUAAGAUGCUUCUUUUCAUUUUGUAUAUGUUUCGUAUAUUCUUAUUGACUAGCAACUGUUUACUUUCUAUCAUUUUGUGCAGAUAGGGAUAUCGAUUUCACCUUGUUGCUAUUGUGACCUUUUGGUGAACUGCACAAAACACUUUUUUUUGAAUGAGUGUCUUAUGCAGUUCAACUAAAAUGUCACGUGGGCAACAUCUCUCAAUUUUGGUGGAACUGCACAAAAUGGUGAUUGGAGUUUCCAAAAUCUCCGUCAAGUUCUGCUGGUAAUCUCGUGCAACAUUUUAUUAGCCUUUGCAAGAUGGAGCAGUCACUGUCACCACAAUGGCACUUUAUUUUAGUGGAACUGCACAAAAGGAUAAGAAAAUUAUAGUUGCACCUUACAUGAGCCGGACAGCCAACCUUAAUGUUCCUCAAUUUUAGUGCAACUACUCAAGAAGAACCUGCCAGCUCACAAGAGCAAGUACUUCUUGCUAGCUGAAUGAUGCAAUCUUUGCUUCAUUUCAGGUGAACCGCAGAAAAAGGCGCAUGAAUUGAAUAAUGGAACUCCAGGCAGACCUCAUCCUAGUGGAUCUGGAGGUUGAGUUCAAGGAGACCGCUAUUAAAGUGAAAUCAUGCUUUCCUGUCUCCUUGUUUGUGCUGUGCAAGCAUGCUAUGCAAACGGGAAUACUCAACUACAGAUGUUGUGACGGUCAAGAGCAUUCGCCAAGUUCUUCGAUUGUAUGACAUGGCUAGCCAAGAUGGAUUUAAUCACGAUAUUCACUUUAUCAAAAGGCUCUAAUGGGUUGGUUCUUAGUCUUGCAAGCUGGGAAUCAAUGAGAUGUGUAGGCAUCUUUGUUGUACUUAUUAUUUGAAUCUUAUUUGUUGGUUCUGAAUCUUGCAAGCUGGGAAUCAAUGAGAUGUGUAGGCAUCUUUGUUGUACUUAUUAUUUGGAUCUCAUUUGUUGGUUCUGAAUCUUGCAAGCUGGGAAUCAAUGAGAUGUGUAGGCAUCUUUGUUGUACUUAUUAUUUGGAUCUUAUUUGUUGGUUCUAAAUCUUGCAAGCUGGGAAACACAGCAUGAUGAUGUAGAGGAUAGCAACCAUAACAAACAGUUCAAACUUGGUAGUAUUAUCUUUGUGAAAGUGCGACAAAUGUGUUGAUCGUGUGCGUCCUGAGAAUAAUAAUUCUAAUUGUUGUGCAUGUUGAUCCCGUGGCACUGAUAGAAUGAGCCAAUGCAUUGCUUGUUUUAAGUAUAAAUUUGUAUUAAAGCUAAUUAAAUUUAAGUAAAGUGACCACUAACUCCUGUUAUUACAGUACCAAUACAGACCCGCUCGUGAACCGACGUGUGGCCGGAGUCGGUUUCUUAAUGGAGGCAUUUGAAUGUGCCGAGGGUGCAUCUUCUGACGGGCGUGCAGCGGACGAGGAAGGGGUAGUAACUGUUGUCGCCUGUACACACUCAGCUUACUAUUGAAUCCAGUUCCCCAAGAGCUGAAAAACGAACUGUUGCCGCCGCCUACACACUCGUUCACUCAAAGAGACUCCAAUGGCGAUCCGAGGGGUGAGCCUGCUGGAUAUGGACUUCAGCAAGGAGUUAGUUCGCCGUUCAGUCCUAUGGCUGCAGCAAGUUGAAUGUGAUGUACACCAACGAUACGGACUCGGUGAAGCUCUGCCUCGCCUCAGUCCUAUGGCUGCACCAGGUUCUGGAGCAUUCAUUUGUUUCAUCGGCAGCGCCGACUGCACCUUCGUUGCGGUGGAGAGAAGGAAGAACGUGACGAUUCGGCCAUCUGGUGCAACAAGCUUGUCGACAUCCAGAAGCAAUACAAGAUCAUCAGCAACGGGCAGGAGAAGGACUCCGUGGUUGACCUCGCUGAGACCAUCAUCGACCCCUGAUACGCCAACAUGAGAGAAGACGACCUGAACACGUGGGAGGUACCUCUGAAUCUAGCCUACAUAACCUACGCGUCCAAGGACGCAUACGCAUGCUACGACAUGUACAGGUAGAUCUUGGACAUGAGGGUGUGUCUGCUUCUCGUAACCAACGAGUACACGGACAGCCGCAGCGUCAUGAUCAAGCGUGCCAGGAAGGUCUAGAUGUUGUACUUUAUCUAUUUAUAAGCACCUUUAUCAUCUGAGUGUUUCAUGCAUUAGCCUAUGUGUCGUAAUUAUCUGUUUUGUCCGAAAUAUUUCCUUUAAGAACCCAUUAACCUGAUUGCUUUUUUUAGUGGCUAUUUGCUUAUGUAUGUAAACUAGUUCACUUGUCCAUAAAAACACUAGUUCACUCGGCUGCCGUGCUUUGAAUCUCCUUCCUCCCAACAUAUUCCUCUCCUCAGGUGGACCCAGCAGGUCUCUGAAUUUUCUCCCACUUUCUUUUUCGAUGUAAACUAAGUUUUCUCCCAGUACUUUCCCUUAGAACCAACUCAACUGUCCCACGUCUAGCCUAAAAAAUAAUAACACCCCACGUACUAUUAACUCAUCAAAUUAAAAUGAUAUUUUAUUUCGUAAGUUGAAAGUUCUUACAAAAUAAUAAUAACAAUUGUUUAUAUAUAACUUGGCAAGUUAACUCCUAGUGAUUGCGUACAUAAGCUUGCAAAGAUUUUACUGACGUGCAAUCAUGUGUUUAUGUUUUUAUAACAUUUCUCCGUCUAGCCCAACAUGAUAUUUUCACCCAGCCUAGCAUGUCUGUGGAUUUCGAGAAAAUGCAAAUGGGAUUUAAACGGGUUGCAUAGAUGCUACAUCAUUGUUUCACCCAGCCCACCAAAUGGACUAAAAAACAAAUGGACUGGCUGACAUGUGGGCCAGUAGGUCGAAGCCUAAGAAGGCGUUGGAUUUACAUCCAACGAUCGGCAUUCUUCUUCAAUCUCUCGUCUUCUUCCCCCAGCGCUGCCGGAGCCGCCUGCUCUAGCCUUCGGCGUCCAGCGGCGUUGUUUUGCGCUCCUCAGUGAAACGCUACCCCGCCGACGACCAGGCCAUCCCUCCACUCCGCACCUCCUGUUAUUCUCUGUCGAGUGUAGGCCCACCCCGCACCCGAACCAGUCAAGUUUCCCACUCCUCUCCAUCUGCGACUCCACUACCACGUCUUCCCCAUCUCCGGGUAGUUCCAGUCUGGGGCCUUGCCGUCAUCCACCACCUCAGUGCACUCGGCGCGGCGUGGUCAACAUACGAGAGUCAUCGGAAGAGGAAUGUACGUGGAGAGCCUGACGGCUAGGACCCACGAGGUCCAUGAUCGCAUGCAAGGAAAGUUCCUCCUUAUUACGCACUGUACGUGCACUGUACGUGGGAAGGGCUUCUGUAUUUCGCGAAAAAAACGUUCCCCCGCUGACAGGUCGGACCCACCAGCUAUAUCUUCGCACGCAAGGAAGUGCCUCCUUAUUAUGCACCAAAAAAUGAAUACCCCCUGCUAGCUGGGACCCACCAUAGUGGGUGGCUGACUUGUGGGCCUACUAAGUUGACGAGGAUAGAAGGCUUUGUCAACUUAGUCAAUAUGAACGAUUCUAGCUCCAGUGACCGUACGAUGUCCAUCCAACGGCCAUAGUGCUUCUUCAACCUCUGGUCUUCUUGCUCCAGCCGCCCAAAGCAGCGCCGGUCGUGCCGCGUGCUCCUGCCUCUCGUGGCCGACUGUGAUGCCGCGGAGGCCUCACCGCCCCCUACUACUCCCACCGCUGGCCCAGGGUAUCCCUCUACUCACCCACACCCCCUGUUAUUCUGGGGCGACAGCAGCCUCACGCUGCAGCCGAACCAGUGAACCCUCGUACUCCUCUCUGCAUGGGCAUCCACUGCCACGUCUUCCCCGGCUCUGUGUCGUCCCCUUCCUAAGCCUCGCCGUCGUCCACCGCCUUGGUGCUCUCGGCGCGGCGUGGUCAAUGUGGUCAACGACCGACUUCCAUCGGAAGAGUACAGUACGUGGAGGGUCCAAGGCCGCAGCCCUCUUUUUUAGUGAUUUGCCAAGUAAGUCGCUUUGUUAGGCCUGUUGGGCUGCAAAUCUUUUAAGACGAGGAGAGCUUCAUUCGGCUGGCCGAGAAAAUGGCCUAUCAGUAAUGAGAAAUGAGCUGUACAUUUUUAAAAC